UUUUUUUUUUUUUUUUGUGUACUUUUUGGAGGAUCUAUCAUCCUUGUUUGUACUUAUUUUUACUUAUCUUAAUAUAUUAUACUGUUGUUUCUCAUCAAAAAAAUGAAAAAGAAAAAAAAGUCUUGCUCAUUCAACCAUGACAAGAAGGUGCUGUCUUAUAAACUUAAAAAAUAUUUUCUCCUUGGUUAUGUGCUAGCAAUUCCAUCAAUAGGGUCUAACCAUUCUUGUUCAAGACAAUCUUUUUGCUUCUUCACAGCCUUGCCUUUAUGCUACAUUUGGGGUCUAUCUUUAUGCAUGCUGUAUAGUUAAUGUUAGUUUGUUUUUGUUUUUUUUUCCUUGUUUGACAUAACAUGAUGUACAUGUGGAUUCCUCUUUCCCAUGCCUAAUGUUGUUCAAUUGACUUGAUGAUGUUGUAUAGUUACAAUUUUCAUUUUUAAUUUUACGUUCAUUUAUCUUUCCUGAUUCCAUAUUUUUGGUUAAAAUUCUUAUAUUUUCACUUUAGCUUUUUUCCCCUUCCUUCAAUUAUUUUCAUUUAAAUAUGUUUUCUAUAGCCUAACUAACAACGAAUGGGCAUCUUGGUAGUUUGGAAAUUUACUUGAGUUGAUUGCUUUUUUUCUUUUUCUUCUUCCUGCUUAGCAGAUAUAAUUUGAAAAACCAUGCCUAACAAUAUUUGUUUUUAGUCAUCGGACUUUUACUUUUUAUUUAGUUCAUUCUCUGAUUUUUUUUAUACCAUUAAAUAAUUAGAUUGGAACUGAAUAUCUGAAGCUAUCAAAAUCAUGGUUGAUUUUUAUACAUAUGAUCUACUAGGAGAUUCAGCGGAUGAGGAUUAAAGUCAUCAUAGAUUUGAUCCCUUCUUUGAUCAGGAUGUAAUCCACUAAAAUUUCUAAAAGAGUUGGUACAACCUGGGUGCACAGAGUGUCAUCCUUUUUCCUACCAUAUUAAUAGCAUUACAUCCACUUUCUUCUUCUAUUUGUUCUUCAUGUGAAGCUAUUAAUUUUUUACUUUCUUUCAGAAUUUGGAGUAGCUCACUGUUUCAUUUUAUUUCUUUCUGUUUUUUUUUUUUUUUUUGGCCCAGCAUGCUUGUAAAAAGAUUGUUUCUUAUGAUCUAAUCUUAUGCUUAUAAGGUUGCAAACUUGGAUGACAUAAUAUCAGAGAGAGGAGCUUGUGGAGUUGGAUUCAUUGCUAAUUUGGAUAACAAAGCAUCCCAUGAGGUUGUCAAGGAUGCCCUUGCUGCCCUUAGCUGCAUGGAACAUCGUGGGGGCUGUGGAGCUGAUAACGACUCUGGAGAUGGUUCAGGAUUGAUGACUUCAAUUCCAUGGGAUCUAUUUAACAAUUGGGCCAAAGAGCAAAGGAUUGGUUCCUUUGAUAGGUUGCAUACUGGUGUUGGAAUGGUUUUUCUCCCCAAAGAUGAUGACCUUAUGAAAGAAGCCAAAACAGGUGAUUCUUUAAAGAACAUUGAAUCAAGUUGACCCUUAAAAUUUUUUCCAUGCAUUUCGAAUAAUGGCAGCAUGUCUAUGUCAUUGUGAUCAAUUGUUUACCUCCUGAAUUUCAUUUAUGGUUUGCAAGAUUUUGCAUAUUAUGUAUAGGUAUAGUAUUUAUAUCAGUUAAUGGUGAUUCAUUCCUCUUGUGUGCUGUUAAGCCUUCAUAUUGCACUAAAAUUUGAAAUGAGUAGGAAUACCCCAAGGCAACUCUGUAGGCCAUGUUUGAGUAUGCAGCACAGAAAUGGGCCUUGUAACAGACUAGUUAUUUGGCUACUUUGUUAUUACAGUUUCAGUCAGUUAUUCACAAUAUUUCAAAUAUCUUAAUUUAUUUGAAAUUAAAGAUAACGUACUAAAAGGUUUUUUCACCCUUUUAUUUGUAACUUGUUUGCUCUCGUGUAAUUUAAUUGGACACAUUUAAUUUCUAGAAGAUUUCUAAAUUUUGUUUUUGAGAGUGAGAGAUUGUAGAACUGAAAGGGAUAUUGUGGGAUUGAAGUUUUUUACUUUUUCAGAUAAGUUGCCUUGGUUGAAAAACAAUUAGAACUGGUUUAAACACGACAGUUUUGUCAAACUCAUGUUAGGCAUUGCUGUGGAAUUUGGGCAUUUUUUUAAAUGGUCUGCACAUAGGCUAAACAGUUAUUCAGUGCUCUUAGGUUGCAAGAAACAUAGUAAGCUGCACAUUUGAAGGUUAUGAGAAAAAUUUACCAUUUAUUAAUCACAUCUCAUCCACAAGAGAUGAGAAAAAAUUAAAGCAAUAAAAAGAUUAAUUAAUUAAAAAAACCCAAAGCUUUCCAAGCCUUUUUUUUUUUUGAUAGGAAACGACAAAGGGAUAUAUUGAUAGAAAAAAGAAGUACAAGAGAAGGAUGAGGAAUCCUCCCACCAAAGAAAACUAAAGCUUUCCAAGCCUUGAUUCCUUGACAAUUACUAAGCUCUCUCUGUAUCAAGUAUAAGUUAAUGUUUUUUGGUGAUAUUCGUAAUGUGUCAUGGGUGUGUGGCCACUGCCAUGGAAGUAUUACCUUCAGGGAAGUUGACCUGUUCAAUCAAGACAGCUUUUAGGUCUUUUAGAUGAAAUGUUAGAAUGCUUUACCACUUUGCAGUUACACUGCAACUCCUGCUUCAAGAUAUAAAGAAGGUCCAAAAACAAUUAAAAAAAAAAUCAUUUAUUGACUCUAUUAACAACGAAUAAUAAUGUAUUGCAUGCCAUUUCAUGUGGUUGAUUGCCCAAGAGCCUGGGCUACCACCUGGAAUACCACUAGGGCCAUUGUGAAGGCUCACUGAGGCAUUCUGAGUGACAUAUAAGAUUAAUCCUGAGAAGUAAGUCCCACUUUGGACUAUGUGUAUGAUAAAUGGGAACGGACUUUAUAUUUAAAAUGAGAAAAAGGAAAAAAAGCCUUACAACCGUAUAUGGUAGAAUGCUGAUGCAAUCUAAAAGUGGAGCCUUAUUUUUGGUAUAUUUAAUUUUAAACAUGGUUAUCUCAUCAGUGCGGCGAUAGGGUUGAAAUGAAUGUUGGUUGUCAUAACAAAUCUAAUUUGGUUUAAUUGAGCUGAGAUUGAUCCUAGGAGGCUUAGAGCUCUAACCUUUUAUAUCAUAUUGGCAUGUUUGAGCUUUAAAUGCAUUAUAUUCUUUGGGGUUGGUGAGGAAGUUUGCUAUUGCUGUUUAUUAAUUAACCGGACAAACACAACCAGGGUUUUCUUAAGUCAUUGAAAUUCUAGUGCAUCCUUAUCUCAUUUUGCAUGAUAUGAAUCUUAAAAGUUGUAAUCCCAACCUUAGCAACAAGAUCUAUUUUAAUGUGAUUGCUAGCUGAUAUAGUACUUAUUUGUUUAAAUUACAUCUUUCUGCAUGAUUACUUCUUCCAUGCCAAUGUCUUUCCAUGUGUACUCAUCUAUAUGAUUCAUCUCUUAUUUAUUGGUUUGACACUGUCAGAUUGUAUUGCAGUGAGGUCUACCAUGGGAUAGAUCUUUCUGUUGCACAUGUUAUCUGUUCUCCUGAUCAUAAAUUUUAAUUGUUUCUGUAGUUAUUGAUAAUAGUUUCAAACAAGAGGGCCUUGAGGUGCUCGGAUGGAGGCCUGUUCCUGUAGAUAUUUCUAUAGUUGGUUACUAUGCUAAAGAAACCAUGCCAAACAUACAGCAGGUAUUUGUUAGAGUUGUUAAGGAAGAGAACAUCGAUGAUAUUGAAAGAGAACUAUACAUCUGUAGGAAAUUGAUUGAAAGAGCAGUGAAGUCAGAAACUUGGGGAAAUGAGCUUUAUUUCUGUUCGUUAUCCAAUCAAACAAUAGUUUACAAAGGAAUGCUUCGCUCGGAAGUUCUUGGAAACUUUUAUUUGGACCUUAAGAGUGAUAUUUAUAAAUCACCUUUUGCCAUUUAUCAUCGGAGGUACAGCACAAAUACUAGUCCAAGGUGGCCUCUUGCACAACCGAUGAGGUUACUUGGUCAUAAUGGAGAGAUCAAUACCAUACAGGUUGGAAUUCUUUUUUGUUAUCAUAUGUAUUAGGCAUAUACAAGUUGUUUCUGAUUCAUUUUACAUUGCCAAAAUCCUUAUACAGGGGAAUUUGAACUGGAUGCAAUCUCGAGAGGCCUCAUUGAAGUCGCCUGUUUGGCGUGGUCGAGAAAAUGAAAUUCGUCCUUUUGGUAACCCAAAGGCAUCUGACUCGGCAAAUCUUGAUAGCACCGCAGAAGUAUGAGCUAUCACCCUUAUGUCCAGAUCAUUUGCAUGGUUUUUGCUGUAUGACAUUUUUUUCCCUUUUUUGGUUAAGAAUGCCAUAUUUUUAAAAAAGGAUGCUUUUCAAUCAGAUCCUUGCUUCCCUCAUAUAUCCUCUAGCCCAAUGAGAGAGGCUCUCUUCUCCCAAAUAUCUUUUGACAUCUUUCAAUUUGGAAGAAAUGGUUGAUUGUGUGGUUUUCCACUGUUGAUUUGCAGCCUCUAUUUUAUCCCUUCUCUUCUUGUUGGCUGGGUUGUAAUUGGCAUUUUCAGUUUUUUCGGGGAUCUUCAGAUUUUGAUGUAGAUGCUUUGGAUACUAUGCAUAGAUGUUUGGAAAUCUUGAUCGUCACUGUCCCUGUGUUAUCUAGGAGUAAAAAAUUUAACAAGGGAGUAAAAGUUCAAUCAAGGAGAUUUUCUUUUUAGCUUUAGUCUCUUUUUUGUUUAUGUGCUGUUUUGGUUUCCCAUUGUAGUCGUGGGGUUUGUUUGUGGCACCCUAGCACGUUUGCUUUCUUUUUUCUUUGAAAACCAAUAAUUUAUUUAUGUAUCCCUACCCAUCAAUGAUUGUCAUGUAAACACUUGUUGACAUCAGCAAUUCAGUUUAUUAAAACUAAUCUUUUUUUUUUUUUCCUUCUGAAAUAUGUGAUGAUCAUGCAUGUAGUUGUGUUUGUAUUAUCAGACCUACCAUAUAGACCUUAGACUCUUUAUGGCCUUAUACUCUGAUUGUUUCAAUUUGCGUUUAAUUUGGAAAGAUUGUUUAAUAAUUUUCUUUCCUGUCUAAUUUGUAAGCUUUUAGUUGGUGGAUGUAAGAGCUUGGUUUUCAAGAUGGUCCAUGUUGAAUUUCAUGUUUUUUUUCCAUUGUGUUAUACAUUUUGGGGUUUUUAGGGUGCUUAGAACAUUUCACAAAAGUUUUUGUUUAUUUUUUGAUUUUUUCCAACUUUCUUUUAGAGCAAGUUUCAUCUGAUGUUCUUUUUGAGUUGUUUCCUCAAGGAUUCUAAUUUUCAAUAUUCUAGUUAAUUUUGUUCUCUUUGUACAGAGCUUCUCUGUCUGAUAAAUUUCUUUGUUAUCUCUUCCUAUUCAGUUGUUGAUAAGAAGUGGCCGUUCUGCUGAGGAGUCUCUAAUGAUUCUGGUCCCGGAGGCCUACAAAAAUCAUCCAACUUUGAUGAUUAAAUAUCCUGAGGUAUUUUUUAGCUGGCAAUUAUAGUUUGAAUGAUUGCGCAUCAGUAAAUAUGCUUUUGGAGAAGCUCUUGUGGUUUAGUACAUUAUUAAUGUCUCUCUUUACUUAACUUUUACUUUUUUUAAAUACAAGUUUACUGUGGUACAUUUUGAAUUUAUUAAAUACUUUCAACUUAACUCCAUUAAAUACUGAUCUAAAUCUGAACCUUUUUGGAUCAGCUAAACAAAUGAAAUUUUACUCAUCAUCUCUGUCUGGGUUCAUAUCUCUGUUAAUGAUAGCAGCAUGUGCUUUUGUUUGUUGGCUCAACCCAUGUUCUCUUUAUACUUCCUCUUGUCCUUGUAUUUUCUUCAAGUCAAAUAUUGAUAUUUUUCCAAUUUUCCCUAUAUAAUUAACUAAUUAUGCCCACUCUUUGACUGUACUGAUCUUUGUCCAAUUUAAGUUGAUAUCAGAUGGUAAAUAGUCAGUUUUUUGGUCUCAGGUUGUUGAUUUUUAUAACUAUUACAAGGGUCAAAUGGAAGCUUGGGAUGGACCUGCCUUGCUUUUAUUCAGGUAACACUUUCAAAGACAACUUUCAUCAUUUUAAAGGUUUAGCUGAGGUAUCAUUAACAUCUUCUCUUGCUUAUAGGAUCAAACAGUCUUAAACAUAAAAUCCAGGUAUUUAGUUAGGAAAGAUAUAGCCCAAUGUCACUUGUGAUAUAUAGUGAAAAGCUAUAAUUGUGAAAAGAUCAACUGGGGCAAACUAGUGGUGACAAUUAUACUUGUGAAGAGCCUAAGAAGAAUUCAAAACCUACCUAAGGUAAGUUUUUGCAUCAUGGCCAUCCAGUGCGUCCAGUAGAAGUGCAUUCCUUCUCUCAUGGAGGAUAUGGGCUUUAUGCGGUGUGUAAGAAGCCUCAUUAAGAAGUGCACAUGAACCUGGUGAAAGAAGUUUGGGUCUUAUCACUGUUGACUUUGAUGCGUGUUUAGUUCAUGUUUAGUCACUAUUACUGAACCUAGUGAGUAAUUUGCUUACUCCUGAUUUGAAGGAUCAUUAUACCAUUAUACUUAAGGAAACAGAAAAACUAUGGUUUCAGCUUAGCUCCUUCUCUAGAACCUUGCAGGAUCUGCUCUUCACACCACAUAAUAUGUAGCAUGACUGCUGAAAAAGAUUAGGAGCAUACUUAAUUACUCAUAGUCAAUAAAACUAAAAUAAAAUGAAACAAAGUAAAAGGAUUCAAAAAUGCGUGAAGGCUGGAAUUCCACGCCAUUUAGUUAUCCAAGUCCAACCAAACUGGGCCUGUUUGGCCUUUUGAUCCUCUUGGAUGCUCCUGCAUUGGAAGGGGGAGAACUUAUAUGGCAUUAGGCAUUAUAUAAGUGCAUUAUUGUGUUGUUGGAUACAUACAUGGAAUAUGGAUAUGAUACCAUAUGUACAUGCUGGAAUGGCUAUAUUUAAAAGAUAGGACAUUGAGAUGUCGAUGACACAUCAACAUAUUAAACAUAUCUUUAUUAUAGCUUAUAAGAGUGCAUGUCGAUAAUAUAUACUCCUUCCUUCUCUCCCUUUCCUCCCCUCAUAUCAUAUAAAUAUGCAUAUACAUUUUUAUUUUGUAAAUAUUUCUUUACAAUUAUAUAUAGCAAUAAGGAUAUUGUUUCUCUCUGAUAUUGCUCUGGUAUAACUUUGUAUGUGGCAAACAGAACUAUGAAAUCAAAACAUAAAAUUUUUCAUAGAUUUAUUUUCAUCGUAUAUAGUAGUGUCAUUAUAUUACCUGAGAAUCUAAUUGGGAUUCUAUACCUAACCUUUUUGUUCUUUUUAAAAAAAUAUACUUGUGGACUAGUCCAUUGCAAUUCUUUUUCCCCUUAGGUCAUUGCUUUGUCUGACCAUUGCUAUUCUCAUUCAUAUGGUGCAGUGAUGGAAAAACAGUCGGAGCUUGUCUUGAUCGGAAUGGUCUUCGCCCGGCUAGGUAUUGGCGGACAAUAGACAAUGUUGUCUAUGUUGCAUCUGAGGUGUGGUUCAAAUCUUUGGUUGCUCAGAUUUUCUUGGCUUCUAUUUAGAUGCUAAGGCUUUGGCCUAGAUUUGGGCUUUUAGAGGAUGGGUCUCAGGAGCUAAGCUUGAACUCAUGCUUGCCUUCUGUGAUCUCAGGUCUGAAUCAGCAUAGAUUUGGCUUGUUAAUUAAACUGGAUUUUUUUUAGUUCUAUUUUUGGUUUUUAUAGUUUAUUUUUAUUCAACAUAUGAACAAUAUUUUUAACAGAUAAAUACAAUGAACAUAUCCGAUUUCUGUGGACUUUCUAACAUCCUAUUUCUUCAAAAUUAAAGAAGAAGGUUGAUGCUUCUCUUAACAGCAAAAUAAGAUGCUGAGAAAGUUGGGUUUUGUUCUUGGGAUCAUAUGCUCCAAAUUUUUUCCUAAAUAGUUUGUGAUCUUAUGGAAUCACCAAAUCAUGUAUCAUUAUCCUUUGAUACUUAGCAGUCUUUUUUACCUAUUUGUCUGUUUCAGUGAUGAUCUUUGUUUUGAGAAUUUCCUUGAAGAAACUCCCUGAUUAAAAGGUUGAUUACCAUGAAUUACGUAAUAUUUUUUAUGAAGAGUCUACUAUCCACUUAAAUACUCCUUUAUUCUUCUAGAAGUUUCAGCAGAACACUUCUUUCGUGGAAUAUUCAAAAUAUUUAGUAAAAUGAAUUUGAGAACUAAACUGUUCGUGCACUAUGAAAAUGCCGUUAUCUCAUUGGGUGAGGUAAAUGUUGACUGAUGUUGCACUAUUAUCAUUUUGAGUCAACAAGAAAAGGGAACAAGGACAAAAUAUUGCAUGCAUGUUUAUUGUUUUUGAAAUGUCAUGCUAACAUGGAAUCAUGAAACAUUGUCUCAAAAAAAAUGGAGUAGCCACAUGGAAAUUCUGCCAAUUCUGUAUUUCGUCAUUAGAUUUUUUAUGAACUAGAAUGCUAUACUAUCUAAAUUCUUAUAUAAGAGAAAAAAUUCUAUUAUGCAGGGAUUCUGAAAUACGUGUUAAAAAAUUGUUGUGAACCAAUUAGUGAAGUUCUACAUAGUUGGUAGUUGCCGUAAGGAGUAUAAGUAUUCUGGAAAUACGUGGAGUUGUAUAGAUGCUGAACUUGAAAAAUGUAUUAUGAUCCAGAUACUUCAUAAAUGUCCUGUGUAUUGCAUGGAGUAAGUUCCAUGGUCAUAAAAUGUUCGAAAUAGAUUUUCCAUUUUUCAAAUGUGAAAAAAUGGUGAAAGGAGGAAUAUGCAACAAAAUGGUGAUCACUGAAAUGAGAUAGCUUCUUUUAGACUAUGAUUCAUAUGAUGCAUAUUAUUGCUGUGUUAUGUCACCUGUUACAUUUUUUUCUGCCAAGCACCUGUACAUUUAAUGAUGGGCUUUUGCAGGUUUCUAAUCUGGUUUUUGAUUCAAUUAGAAACUAUUUCAAUCAUACUGAUCUAUACUUAUCUAGGUUGGUGUUCUACCGAUGGAUGAGUCAAAAGUUGUAAUGAAAGGCCGUUUGGGUCCAGGAAUGAUGAUAUCUGUUGAUCUGACAAGUGGACAGGUUUGUACAGUAGUUCUUUUUCUUUUUCUUUCUUUUUAUUUUCUUUUUGCAUUUACAUGGUACCUCAACAUGAUCAUUGUCCUUUUCAAGUUUUACAUUAAUUCAGUUUCCCUAAUUGUUUUAAUUAUAAAGCUUCUGAAGGGUUUCUCCUUGGACAAAGUUAACUUGUUACAAAACUACUUGAAAUGAGCAUAUUGGUUUGUGAAUGAAUUUUGGUUUUAAUCAGUUUUAUAUAUACCUUGUGACUAUUGCCUAUACAAUCAAUUCUAUCUUUAACUUGUUGAACUGCUUGAGCACUGUAUGCCCUGGUUUCUCUGUGAUGCUCUGUUAUGCCACAUUUGCUAUCCAGGAAGUCAUUGUCUGAAUGAGCUGGGAGAGGCCAACUAGAGUUACUUGCAUCAAGAGUGAUGAGGAUAUUUGCAAAUUUGUUUAUGUGGUGAGCAUACUGCUAUGGUCUUAUUAAGAGAAGUCUUCUGAAAAAGGGUGAGAAAAAGGCUAAAGUAGAUAAUACGUGCAGUAUGAAUAAGCUGAGAUAGGCACUUUGGAGUAACUUGCAAUGAAGGGUGUUAGAUGAUAUUUGCGAUUUGUGUCACAUGCUGAGCAAAUCACUGGGGUUUUUGGAAGUUAUUUUUCACUCUCCUGAUGACAAUAAAUGUUACCCUUAAUUGGUUUUUGGAAUUCUUUUACCUUGCCACUUCCCCAAAUGAGUUGUGGCUUUGAAAAGCUAUAAAUAACAUGGCCCAGAUAAAAAAAACAGACUUGCCUUUGACAGUGAGGAGCUGUCGGUACAAAGGCUGAAAAACUUCUUUGGUUGUACUUUUUGGUCUUGGACUAAGUCGUGUAUGGAUGAAGGGCCUCUUCCUUUAAUCAAUUUUUUUGAUUGGUUGGGCUCUAGAUGAGGGCGGGUGGUGUUUUCUAUAACUCCUCUAUUUUGUAGAUUCUACUAUGAGGCGAUAGCUUUAUACUUCUUGUAUGCCUUGGCCUUUUGGGCGCCCUUUCUUAUUCAAUUCAAUCUUGAUUUUACCUAUCAAAUAUAUAUAUAUAUAUGUGUGUGUGUGUGUGUGUAUGUAUAUACAUUGUCAAGUUGACCUAGAUAUUUAAAAGAACAGCACGAAUCUGAAAGUUGCAGCAUGGAAUGUUAUUUUGGAUACUCAAGGUGUAGUUGAUGCUUGAUAUGCACUCAUUGCCAUAUAGCAAAUAGAUGGUCCUCAGUCAUUCCAAUUAUCAGGAAGCUUAGAUUUCAUCACAUUGUGGAGGAUGAGCUGACAAUGGGAACAUGAGCACCCUUUUUUUAAGAAUAUUGGAGCAGGUCAUUUUUGUUACAUUUGAAGAGUCAUCAUAAGAAACCCUUAGCGAUUAUUUUUGAAUGUGGUGCCUCAUAACUAUUCCUUUUAUUCUAUUUUCGAAUUUUGGGAACAAAAUUUGUGUUGAUUAAUUGCUGUACUAGAUAUAGAAAGACAUGAGGCUUUUGAUUCUUGUCUUAUGUCUUGGGCAUUUCAAAAUGUGGUUUAUGAAACCAAACAGACUUAUGAAAUAAUGGUUCUUGUUCUUAAUUUCAGGUGUACGAGAAUACGGAAGUCAAAAAACAAGUGGCCCUGUCAAAUCCAUAUGGAAAGUGGGUGAAUGAGAACAUGCGGUCUCUGAGACCUGUGAACUUCCUUUCAGCUACAGUUAUGGACAAUGAAGGAAUUUUAAGACACCAACAGUAUGAGUUUUGACUUCAUUAGCUGUUUCAAGAUGCUCCAUACUUGGGUAGCAUUGGUACUUAGGGAUGCCAUGUAAAGAUUUCUUAAAUUCUAUUAUAUGCAUAUGAUUAUAACUGUAGUCUAGUCAAAAGACUCAAAACUUACUGAUGUGAUAGCAUUGUAUAUUUUAUAAUUGUUUUCCUGAAUAUGCUAAUAUGCAGUUCAUUUUAAAGCAGAAAUCCCUAGUUUUCUGCUUGAAGAGUAUUCUGUUUUUCAUAAAAAUGGACAAUAAGUGAAAGGUCUGUGAAGACAAUACUGAAUGUGCUCAUACAGGGUUUGCUACCACAUUGAGCCGAUUUGAUUAAAUUUUUUUUCAGGACCAUUCAAAUUUUCUUUUAGUAAUUUGGUGAUGAUUAAGGACUUGUCUUUGGAUUAUAUUUUUGCACCUUUUAUGCUCUUAUGGUGCUCACUUUUUUUAGCUUCAAUUGGAAUAGGGCAUAUGGCUACUCAAGUGAGGAUGUCCAAAUGGUUAUUGAAACUAUGGCUGCCCAAGCGAAGGAGCCUACAUUUUGUAUGGGAGAUGAUAUUCCAUUGGCAGUAAUAUCUCAGAGGUCUCACAUGCUUUAUGAUUAUUUUAAGCAACGCUUUGCACAGGUUUGUUAGAAUUUCUUGACAGUUCCCAAUGCAGUUGUAAAGUUAUAAAAUGGCUGGCUCUGUCUUAGUUUAUUUUUCUCUGGAUUAUGAUUUUUAUUUUACAUUAUGUUGAUUCUAUGUUAGAGAUGACAGGGUGCUUUAUAUAUAUAUAUAUAUAUAUAUAUAAGAAACAAAGACGUAUUGACUUGCUGCUUUAUUUCCAUUUACUUGCUUUGAGGUUGAUGACAUCCCUUCUUUUGUUCUCUUUCUUCUCCUCCCAUCCCAUACACACUUGCACAAAUUUUCUGUAAAAAUUCUGUUGAAUGUCAAAAUUCAAUAAAUUCUUUAAUACAUAAUCUUUAGGUGAAUUAUAAAUUAUGUUUAUUGUAAGAUAGUUACCUAAGCAUUAAUAGUUUAAUUUAAAAAUAAUCUUAAAAGUUAUAGGGAUCACAAAUCAUGUUAUAGUGAAUGUCUUUUUUAGAUAUGAUACUUGUUAAUAUUUAAUUUUUCAGAAGGAAUUUUCUAUUAAUUUUGUUUUCUAAGUAAAAGGUUCAGAAGUUGAUCAUGCUUGGUGGAAUUUUUGAGAGAAUGAAAGUUCUUGGAGAAUUAUAGGAUUUCCCUACCUAGGGAGGAAAGAAGUUAUUGCAAUCAAAUCACAAAAAUAAUUGAACUCCACUUUUUCUGUUAUUUAUUUAUUUUUUUAAACGUUGAACUACAAAUUUUCCUAAAAACUUAAAACUUGUAAGAUUUGGGCACAUAAUGUUUAUCAUGCACUCUAACACCCUCCCUCACGUGUACCCUCUAUUUUUUUGCUUAUACGUGGGCCUUUUUGGCAGCAUUGCUGGGAUAUGGUCAAGGAAGAGGUUAUGGUUUUUUCUAAGGAAUUUUAUGAACAAAGUUGUUUUGAGAAAAGCCUCAAUGCAACAUUUCUAGUGUUGGUGCCAAAGAAAAGAGGAGCUGAAGGGUCGAAGGAUUUCAGUCUGAUAAGUUUGGUGGGCUGGAUCAAUUAGAUUAGUUGGUGCAUAUCAAUUCCAAGGUUCUUGGUGCUAGUGAAUGGUACUCCUUUAGGGUUUUUUUUCAAAGCUCUAAGGGUUUAAGGCAAGGGAACCUGCUUCUUCGUACUUGUUUGUUCUAGCCAUGGAGGCGUUCAGUUGCCUUCUUGGAAGGGUAAGGGAGGGCGGGUAUUUGUCUAGUUUCAAAGUGUUUGGUACAAAUGGGGAGGGUUUGGAGAUUUCCCAUUUGUUGUUUGUAGGCGAUACUUUGGUAUUUUAUGAGGCCACUCCUAUCUAAGUGACUUACUUGAGUUGGUUACUCAUGUGGUUUGAGGCCAUUUUGAGGUUGAAAAUCAAUUUAGAUAAGAGUGAGCUCAUUUCGGUUGGAAGGUGAUGGAUGUAGAGGAGAUGACUUCUAAAAUUGGAUGCAAAGUGGGUACGCUCCCAACCACUUUUUUGGGGCUUCCACUAGGAGCUGCCCAUAACUCGGUGGUGGCUUGGGAUGGGGUUGAAGAAAGGUUCCAAAAGAGAUUGGCAAUGCGGAAAAGACAAUAUAUUUCUAAAUGGAGAAGGUUAACAUUGGUUAAGAGCAUGUUAACUAGCUUGCCAAUCUACCUUAUGUCACUGUUCCGGAUGUCAAGGAGAGUUUGUUUAAGGUUGGAGAAAAUCAAAAGGGAUUUUUUGUGGGGAGGUGGGUCUCUAGAGAGUAAGCCUUGUUUAGCGAAGUGGGCUAUUGUUUGUUUAGAUAAAAGAAAAUGAGGUAUAUGGAAAUAGAUGUCCCUUGGAGAGAAGUUAUUUGUGGUAAAUAUAGAGAAUUGGAAGGGGGAUGGUGCUCUAAGGAAGUGAAGGGCAGAUAUGGUUUGGGGCUAUGGAAGACUAUAAAGCAUUUAUGGGAGUUAGUUUUUUCUACAUAGUGGGCAAUGAGAAAAUGGUCAAGUUUUUGAGAGACAAAUGGUGAGGUGAUGAGCCUUUAUGUGUCUUUUUCCUCCUUAUUUGCUCUAAUUGGCUUUAAAGAGGCAUGGAUGGCCAACUUAUGCCUACACUAGCUGGAUUCCGAACUUCUCUAAACCUCUCAAUGAUUGGGAGAUUGAGACUGUGGAGUGUUUCUUGUUAAAGCUUCAAGAUAAUAAGGUGGUGGAUGUAGAGAGGAAGGACAAGGUGUUUUCGGUGGAAACAAAGAGUGGAUCCUUCUUUGUUAAGUCCCUUUAUUCUAUCCUUGAGGUAGGGAGGGUAGAGUCUUUCCUAACAAGUGUUGUGAGGAAUGCAUGGGUUCCCUCAAAGGUUAGCUUUUUUGCUUGGGAGGCAACAUAAGGGACAGUUUUGACUUUAGACCAAUUACAAAGGAGGGGGUGGUCUUUAGCUAAUAGAUCCUCUCUUUGUUCUUCUUAUGAGAAUCUGAUUAAUCACAUACUCUUGCAUUGUGGAAGGCAAGGUUGUUGUGUCUUUUUCUCCUUGUUCAGGGUGUGUUGGGUGAUUCACUCUACAGUGAGAGAGACUUUGUUAGGGUGGCAUGACUCUUUUACUGGAGGAAAAAGGAACAAAGUGUGGAGAGCAGUGCCUUUAUGCCUCUUUUGGACAAUUUGGAAAGAGAGAAAUAGAAGAUCUUUUGAGAAUGUAUAACUUUUUGUUCAAAGGCUGAAAUUUUUGUUUUUGUGCACCUUGUUAUCUUGGACUAAUUUGUUUAUAGAAAAUUCAUUUUUAGUCGAUUUUAUUGAUUGGUUGGGGUCGAAUUGAAGGAGGGAAUAUUUUUGUUUUCCCUAUCCUUUUUGGCAUUAUUUGGUGGCCCUUUAAUACUAUUUGCAUUUAUCUAUCAAAAAUAAAAAUAAAAAAUAAAUUGGGGAAAUAAACAUGUGGUGGUAAGGUUCAAACACUUGACCUUCCACCAAAUAAGGCUAUGAUAUCAUGUUCAACAAUCAAUUUUCCUAAAAAUUUAAGCUUGUAGGAUAUAAGUCCACAAUGUAUAUCAUACGCUCCAAUAAGGAAAAUUAGUAGUUUAACAUGGUAUUAGAGCUUCAUUUGGUGGAGGUCAUGUGUUGGAGUCUUAUCGCAAAUUGACUUCCCCAAUUUAUUGUGUAAGCCCAAAAGAGGCUAAUUGUGGUUGUUUGCAUAUGGGCUUGUUUAUCUACCUAUGUGUGGGUAUGAGAUUGCACAUAAGGGAGGGUGUUGGAGUGCAUGAUAUACAUUGUGGGCCCUAAUCCUACAAGCUUAAUCUUUUACAAAUAUUGAUUGUUCAACAUUUACAAAUAGAAGCUGAGUUAUCAGUACCACAAGGGUCCUUUUUGUUAGUUAUCUUGCUCUUAAGGCCAACUGUUAAUAUGGGCUACUGAAUACACUUCACUAGGUUUUGAUUCCUGAUCCAUUUUUAGGCAAAUCAGAGAUUCAUUAAAAUGAUGCCUAACAAAAAGCGGUGCACCUCUGGUCGAGUCUACAAGAAGUAAACAAGGUGCACAAAUGCAAAAGGAAAAACAGAAAAAGAAAAGAUGCAACACACUCCUAACUGAUACAUCCCAAGUUAUCUAGAUAGUUGAGGAAACAAAAAAUUUCAGUCCCCUUAAACUACUAGAUCACAAAACACCUUAAGAAACAUAUCCUUCACUGCCCACUCUAACAUCUCCACUUCUUGAAAGACUCUUCUAGUUCACUUUCUUUGUAUUGACCAAAACAAACAUGAAGAUGUUAUCUUCCUUGCAACCUUGUGAUUCUUGCCCAUGCCAAAUAAGUAAUGCUUUGAGGGAAGGACCUAAGAAUUCCCAAACAAGGUGAAGAUGAGAUACCACAAAUACUAAACUCAUUUGCAAUGACUGGGAAUGCUCCAUUGACACCUCAUUUUGUACAAGCACAUGGAAAUUCUUAGAACUCAAAGCCAAUCAAGUUUUCAGCUUUGAUUAAUAUUGAUUAUGAUAAUCAAGCCAUGUUGUAGUUUUAGCUAGCCUCAUGGUAUUGUUGUUUGACUGAAAGAAUGACUUGGUCUGGAUAGCCUCUGAUCUAUGGGUGUGAUAGGAAUGGUAAAAUGGAAUUAGGACUUCGAUUGGCUAUAAGGCAAAGCUCGAUCACCUUGCUUGGUGCAUGUCUGUGUAAUUUGUAUAUUGGCAUGCGAAGGUGUAGUGCCUUGACGCGGGCAUGUCUGUGAUCGUUUGGAAGGGAUGCAUCACUGUAGCUUGAAUACAUCCAUUGAUCUCAUGUCUUACCUAAAAGACUCGGUUUUCCACACUGUGCCUUGAUCACCUUUGUCCAUAACCUCAUAACCUUAUGCAUGGAGAUAAUUUGCAUGAUGACCAUCUCCACAUACCCAUUUCAGAAGAUUUCUGACUUAAAUGGAAAUCUGGUUGAAAAUUUGGUAUUUCCAAAAUUAUUAUUAUUAUUUUUUUCCUUUUUACUAGUGGGACUGGGCUUAGGCCUCAUGUUAUAUUCAAGGCAAUCUGUAUGAGGGGUUUCUUAUAUGGAAUGUCCUAAGGUAGAAAUUAUACAUAGAAAAUUAAAUGCUGAACUACAUGAUAGAAAUUAACUCAUUGGGUGCAAAAGUUGGAUCAACAAAUUGGUUUAUUAGAGAGCAUGAUAAACAUUGUAGGUCCAAAUCCUAACAACUUAAAUUUUUAGAAUAAUUGGUAGCUCAACAUGGUAUUAGUCUUGUUUAGUGGGAAGCCAUGAGUUCAAACCUCACCUUAUGUUUAUUUCCCUCAAUUUAUUGAGUCCACAUGCAAGCCCUAAGGAGAUUGUCACCAUUUGUUUGCCCUUGAGCCUGUCUAUCUCUCACUACACAUGAGGGAGGGUGUUAGAAAGCAUGAUCUACAUUUUGGGUCCAAAUUCUAACAGAUUAAGCUUGAAGGAAAAGUGUGAACUCAACAUGAUUUCUCCAGAAUUCAGUUUCUUUUCACUAGUGGACAUGUGACUGGCUUCAUGCUGUUUUUUUUGCACAAGGGAUUUACUAAAGCUUUGUCCUAUUAUAGAAACUAUAUAUAGAGUAUUAUUUGCUAAACCACCUGAUAGAAAUCAUAUUUAGAGUGUUAUUUGCUACAUACCAUUUUUACUAUUGUUUUGUUCUACUUUGUCUAAUACAAAUCUUAAAAGAUAAUCUAAAAUUAAGUGCUGCAGAGUGAUAUGGAGAGUACAUAUAGUUUGUUUCCUAUUUUUCUCUAUUGAUUUUAGCAUGGAAUUAACUAUUAUGUAAUUGUCUUUACAUAAAUAUUUAAUUUGGUUCUUUCAUUAUUGUUUGUAUGUAUCUUUCCAGGUUACAAAUCCAGCUAUUGACCCUCUCAGAGAGGGAUUAGUUAUGUCUCUUGAAGUAAAUAUUGGGAAGCGUGGGAACAUAUUGGAGGUUGGACCAGAGAAUGCUUCUCAGGUUUGUUAGCAGUUCUCUUUUCCUCUUAUUCAUAUAUAAGGGUGCUACAAUCCAACAUUAUUUUUUCUUUGUAAUGAAUUUUUUGGCAUUUAUGUAAGUAUAUUAUUAUUCUGGACCAGGUUAAUUUGUCUAGUCCUGUACUGAAUGAAGGGGAGCUUGAGUCAUUGUUGAAGGAUCCUCACUUAAAACCCCGAGUAUUACCAACAUUUUUUGACAUAAGAAAGGGGGUUGAGGGUUCCCUGCAAAAGAGACUAAAUAAGCUUUGUGAAGCUGCUGAUGAAGCUGUUCGUAAUGGUUCCCAACUCCUUGUUCUCUCUGACCGCUCUGAUGAACUGGUAACAACCCUUUAGUUUUCUAAUGUUAUGAUCUAUAUACACAUCUGAGUCAGUUAUAAUUUUUCCUCUCUUUUUGGUUAUUCUACUUUUAUUCUAUGAUGUUGUUUUUUGGUCUAGUCAUUUGCAUCUUCUUACUUAAAUUACAAGAAUAAGUGAAAUUUCAAUUUGAUUUUAUAUUUUGUUACCCUCAUUGAAGGGUUACUAUUUUGAUCUUAAAGUUUGAGGUUUACUGUUUCUUAUAUGUUUUUUCUUUGCCUUUUUCCUUUGAAGAGUUUCAAACAUUGCUCUUGACGUACUCUGGGCAUCUUUUCCAAAUUGUCAAACCAGAUUGGUUGCUUGCAUGAAUUAUUCUGCAGUCUGGAGCAUGGUUGCAUGCCAUUUUUUCUGAUGGGAGACUUUUAGUGUUACAUCAUUGCAUUAAUUAAUGUUGUUUUGUAGAUUAAUAUGGUUUUUCGAUCUGCAUCAUAGGUUUUUCACUCACUGUUCUGUCUCCUAAGUACUGGGUUGUCUUGUUUCCUUCUUUCUCUAUGUGCAUGCACAUGUGCAUAUGAGCAUGCUUUCUUUUAGCAGCUUGUGAUUUAUAUCAUUUGAUUGUUCUUCCUUGAGAAGUGCAUAGAAAGGUGUGUUUGUGCAUAGCAUUCUUUCAUCUUCUGUUCUUCUUUCAUCCCUGGAAGGAAUUUUUUUGAGGUUUACACCCAGCUCUAAUUCUUAAGUUUUUUCUUUGAAUCAGGAACCAACCCGGCCUGGAAUUCCUAUUCUUCUUGCUGUUGGUGCUGUUCAUCAACAUCUUAUUCAAAAUGGGUUGCGAAUGUCAGCUUCAAUUGUGGCCGACACUGCCCAGUGCUUCAGUACUCAUCACUUUGCUUGUUUGAUUGGAUAUGGUGCAAGGUCAUUUUCAUUCUCUAUGUCAAAGUUUUUUAACAGUAGCUUUUUUUACCUUUUCUAUCUGGAAAUAUGGGAUUUCAUUUUUUUCAUUUUAAGUUAUCAUGGGCCAAUAUAACGUAUGAUCUGGUGAGAGUACCCUUCAAUGGUCUCUCUUGUCUGUGAGGGAAAAAUUUUGUGUUAGGAUAAAAAAAAUUUUGAGUAUGGAUAUCGAGAUUAUCUAUUACCUUGAUAUUGUCUUGGACCAUUAUUUCGAUAUUUAACUCACAGCGAUAGAAUGUUUAAUACUAUUAUAGUUUAUUGAUAAUAUGAUUUUACAAUAAACAUAAAGAAUAGUAAGAUGUGCAACUAUAGAAAAAGAGUUCCUUACAGGAGCAGGAUUUCAUUUUUCCUACAUUUUAGUGAAUUACUUCAACCCUAUUGAUAUAGAAUAUAGUACAGUUGCUUCUCUUAAAGCACUUCUUGUUAGUGACCUAUCUUCAUAUUUCAUUCUUUUCAAACACCUUCAAAGCUAUGCUUUGGAAGGAAAUUAAGGAACUUAGGAGGAUGCUGUUAUGCCCUUGAUGCCCAACGUGCUGCACAAGGUCCACAAGUGGCACCUUGCACUUGCACACAUGGCCUAAAGCAUGGGCAUGUCAAAGAUAAGUCAAAGUGGCUUUCAGGGUGGGUGAUGGAUGCAUGGGCAGAGGUGUGCAACAUGGGCAGCACUUGGCACAUGACUCAGCAUGUUGACACAUGCAUGAGGCCAUGGGUAUGCAGCAAUGGGGCCUCAUGUCAACAAUGUGGCUCAGCCAUUAGGCCACAGGUGUGCAGUAACAUGGCAUCACAUCUGAACAUGAGUAGCAACAUGGUAUGGCCAAGGUAGCCAAGUUAGAAUUGGCUGGAUUUGUAAAAGAAGAAUGAAAUGGUGGGACCCCGAAAAAAAUUUAUGAAAUUUCCAUUGUGCCUCCUCAAGCAUCCCUGAUAUCUCCUCCUGGAUGAGUCAAAAUGGCUUAAAAUGGUCUUUAAAAGCUGGGGAAAGGGGAGGGGAUGGUUCUCAAGGGUCAUGUGGGGUGUUGGCUAGGUUGAUUCCAUAUGGUCUGACAAACCUAGGGUCACCCUCAUAGUGCUGCAUCAGUCGGUUUCCUUGGCACAAGGAUACAAGGCCUUGUACAAUGGAAAUGAAGGUCAUGGGUGCAAUGCCUGGCAUGUGUGGCUUGACAUUGGGCUAUCGCAGAAGUGGGUAAUAGAAGCAUGAACGUGGGUGACAUAGGUGUCAUGGUGCAUAACUGAACCUAUCACAUGACAUGAGCGUGUUGUGCAUGGCACACUAUCCCUUGACAUGUGCAAGGUGUGGCAAGCCUUUUGCAAGAGCUACAUCAAGGGUGCCAAUUCAUGGGCAAUAAUGUCAACGUGGAUGAGCCAUGGCAAUAGUUGAAGUCAUGAGGGUGGCAUGACUUCAUCAGCACCAAGAGAUAGGACAGAUACUGGUGCAUUAAGUUGGAUUGAGGCAAUGCUGUAAUGUGGACUAGAGGCAUGGGCCGCAAGGAUGGGCUAAAGCAAUGCAUGGGGUGAACAAAGCCAUGGGCUGAGGCAAUGCAUGACCAUGGGCUGAGGUAUUGCAAGGCCUUUGAGCCAAGACAAGAUGCCAGACAUGGGCUGAUAAGCAACAAUGGUGGGCUAGAAAUGCCACUUAGGCUGUCAGCAAACAAGGGAUUGUUGGGCUUGCACAUGCAUGGUAAUUGCAUGACAUUUGUGGGGAAGAGACCACUGUUUGUGGCCAACCGACUCAGAUAAAGGAUUGUCAAGUCAACAUCAAAGUAAGGUGCUUGUUUGGAUGUAUGAUGGUGGAUUAAUGGCUGGUGAUUUAGCAGCUGGGUGGUUAUGGAAGUUACAUAACUAUCCCAACUUCCUCAAAUGGGAUGUUUGAAUUCAAAUGGACUGAUGCAUGUGGGAAAGCAGUAGUUUAUAUCAGUCCUCUGUAAAAAUGAGAGGGGAUGUUCUCUGUAGUAGGCUAAGUGUUGGAGCACUUAAACAAUUUUGUAGCCUUGUAUAAUGAGUUAAUAUGCAAGUUGAGAGUAGCCUUCCUGUAAUUUCCUGUGUGUUCUUCUUCCUCUAUUGUUGCCUGCUCAGUAGAUUGUUGGCUAGCUAAUUACAGACUUAGCGUCAUACAUUAACAGAAAAUAAUAAUAAUAAAAUAAAUUAGAGGGGUUUUGUGGGUGUGACAGAUGCUACACUUAUUGCUGACAUCUUUUAGAUUAUUUAUGUUAUUGCCAUUGCUUUCAUUCUUGGAGCAUGCAUUAAUAUCAUUGCAUUGCUUUGUCAUUUAGAACAUCCAUGAUGUUUUGUUCUCUAUGCUCACCUUUUCAGUGCUGUAUGUCCGUACUUGGCAUUGGAAACAUGCCGGCAAUGGCGUCUGAGUAAUAAAACUGUGAAUUUGAUGCGGAAUGGAAAAAUGCCUACUGUUACAAUUGAGCAGGCUCAGAAGAACUUUUGCAAGGUCAGUACAUCUUUGCUAUAAGGAAUGUUUAGAGAUGUGCAUUGUUACGUGUAUUUCAUCCCCUUUAAUUAUACUUCGUCAAGUCAUAUUUUCUGUUUAAAUUUUUAAUACCUUUUUCCCCUUUAAGCAUGCAUAAUAAACUGUUACUCAUCAAAAAAAAAAAAACUAUUGUAAUUUCAGCAUUGUUUAUUCCUGGUUGCUAGUUGCUUCUUACUGGUUCUUUUCUUAUCCUUUUCUAUGUCUUGCAUUUUCAACAUGAAGAGGCUUGCUGGUUGAAUAGGGUUAGCUAUAUCCUAUAGCAGUUAGUUAUCCUUUUUCUGUAUGUGAACAUAACCAUGUUCCUUAAAAUGAGAUGUAGUUAACAGCUAAUCCGAUGUGCAAAACAGCCUUAAACAUAUUUUAAUGCGGGAAUGCUUAUAAAAUUUUUUUGGUAUUUCAAGAUUUUCUUGAAAAAUCUUGGUAUUCAUUAUCAUCCAGUACUAAGAAUACGAAGUGAAGGAAGUACUGGAUUUCUAUGUUGUCAUUGAAGAAAAAUGUCUUAUACUGAAUGCCGAUAGCUUGAUUUGUUUUUCAUUUGUAGCAAAUCAGGCAUUUAUGUAUGUUUUAAACAUGAAUGGAAUAUCUCUGUUCUCAGGACCUUUGAUUUUGUUGUGGUAUUUUGGAUUCUGAAUCUUACAAGAGUUUAAGUGAAUAUUGGAAGCUAUUUGACACUCUGAAAUUUUCAUUUGGCUGAUUCAGAAUAAUAUUUUAACAGUUUGUCCUAGUGGCUCUAAUAGAUUCCACAUGGUUUCAGUGUUUUCCAUAGAAGUGGCAAUGUGGUGUUUUAAGGGAAUAGUUUGAAUCUUCAUUCCUUAAAUUUUUUUCUUUUGUUUUUUAUUUUCAAAUACUGCAGAAACUUGUUGGCUCUAUUUCGUUUCCUUACAUGUUUAGUGAUUGUAAUUUUGGCAAUUCAAGGUUUUAGUCAGUUGGAUAACAGGAUAAGUUCUAUGCUCUUCAAGGGAUCAAAUUACUCCAUUAUCCUAAAGUUGAAAAAUAUUACCCUGAAACCUGUCUUCUCUUUAUAACUUCCAUGGAUUUUUCUUGAUAUGGCUAGGGAUGCAACAUGGCCUGUUGGGUUGGGUUGGUAAUCAACCCAAUUCCAACCCAACCUUUAAGAGGUUUUGCCUGAAGCCAACUGAACUCAAUCUCCAACCUGAAGUGGUCAACCUGAACCCAACUUAGAGUAAUUUUUUUGAACUUGGGUGAAGUUUGAGUUUGGCUAUGGUUACAACUUAGAUUUUUCUUCUUUUCAUGUUCUCAACAAUCUAGCAUCCAUCCAAGAAAAGCAUAGGCAAAUAGAGAGUGAAGAUGAGAAAUUAGUCACUUGCAACAAAAUUUAUGAUGAUAGCUAGAAUGCAUUCAAAUCAUGGAGACAGUAAGAGUAUAGGCCAUAGUAGUUGCUAGGUUGAUGGUGAUUCUCUCGGCAGCUGCAGCAUGGCUCUGGAUUCUCUCUGUUUUCUAAGAUUGAGAAAGCUGCUUUGAGACAAAUUGUUCUGUGUGAGGAUCAAUGAUGAUAUGAUUGUUUGGUCUGGAAACACAAAAAUUAGAUCCUGAAAUGAGGAGGCAAAUUGAAGAAACUUGGAGCUUUGUCUUCAACCAAGCUUAAGUUUGAUGCUUCCGAUUUGUGUGGGUCUUGACUCUUGAGUGCUAUAUAUAUUGGCUUGCAUGUUCAACUUUGAUUGCAAACAUGUGAAACAAAGCUAAGCCUUCCCAUGUUAGUAUUUUUCUAACUCAGCUCUGAUUUGAAAAGGGGGAAAAAGGUUGUCCAAGCCAAUCCAAAUGUCAGGAUGAGCUUGGAUUGGUCAGGUUGAACCCAACCAAGUCACUGCCUAGAUAUGGUGGGGUCUAAGGCCCCUUUGGUCAGGCCCUUUGUUUUUUAGCCUUGACAGGGUGCUCCAUGUAUACCUCCUGUGUAUGCUAGGGUUGCAUCCCCUUUUUUGGUGUUCUUUAUUUAUUUUCUCUUGCUUGCCUAUGGCAAUAACAUACCAAUUUUAUAAUUUUAAUCCCUUAAAUGUCCAGGUCAUAGAAGCAAUUCUUGUUUAGUUUUAGUUUCCUUGCAAAGGGUUUGAAUUUUUGUUGACAGUCAUCUGACUGUUAACUUAUAUAAUUGAGAGGAUCUAGUUCUUUUUUUAUCAUUUAGAUUAUUACUAUUUUCUGGACUGAAUUUUUAUGAUUAGCAAACCAUGCAAAUGUAUUCCACCUUUAUGUUCCAUAUAAUUGCAUUUCCUCAAUUUUUGCAUAUUUUCCCCUAGAUAAUUUCUUUCUCUUAAGCAUGCCCUUUGGGUCCUUCAUUAUUGAAUUGCAUUAUUGUUCCACAUCAGCAUGGCCAUAAAGCAUUGUCUAAAAUAAAUUUCAUAUGUUACUAUGUGAAUUUAAAUAGGAAACUGUAUUUUCUCAAGUUCCUAAAGAUAUAUAUGUAUUUUUCCCUGCAGUCUUAUUUAAUUCCAUUUAUCAUAUGUACCCUCAAGGUUCAUAUGUUGUGUCUUCUGGGAUUCACAGGACCUGCUGAUUUGCAAUAUAUAGCUGGUACUUUUUAGGCUUAUAAUUAUAUCUGGGGCUUGAUGGUUCAUGCAUUAGGAAAGAAAUAUAGGUAGCAGACAUGUAGAUGGAUGAUUAGAAAACAUGCUAAUAGUCAAACUUUAUUUUACUGGGACAUGAGAGUGUAGUCUUCAAGUAGCAUUGAGAUAUGACACCGUAUUAUGCUCUACAAAUUUACAUCAGAUGUUUGCAAAGGAUAAUAAAAUUCUUGCCAUUGACUGAAAACUGGUUCUUCACAAAUGGUCUAAGUUGAAACCCAAAUUUUUUAUAUUUUUUUGGAAGAUUGAGAAAAAGUGGAAACUAAUGAAAAUUUAGGAAAUAUAUUAGGGGUAUACAUAAGAGUGUUGAGUCAACAAGGGAAGUUUGUGUGGAGAACCUUUUUUUAUUAUUUUUUAUUAGAAGCAAAAGAUGUAUUAGUUAUAGUUAAACGGAACAUGAGAACGAUGAUGAGUCUUCCCCACAAAUACAAAAUCCUAAUAAAAAAAUAAUUGAACACCUCUACUAUAUGAGGAGGCUUAUGCAAAAAGGUUACAUCCACAUAAUAAUGUACAAGGAUGUUGACUAAGCUCCUCCCAAUGUUUCCCUGUCCCUUUUUAUCUACACUACAAGAACCAAUUGAGUUGAAUAGCAUUGAGAGGAAUGCCUUAAAAAGCAUAGUACAAAAGACCCAAAAAGAGGAAUAAAAGUGAAGUGGAUUCCACAAAGUCUUUGAUGAUCUCCACUUACGCUCAAAGAUUUUAGCAUUUCUUUCUCUCCACACAAUUCGAAGCAAAGUGAGAAAAGCAAUUUGUUAAAGAGUCAUGCCUUUAACAGAUUUGCCCAAACCUCUAUAAGAAAAUAAUCAUCAUGUCACCUUUUGCUCCUUUUUUAUCAAGCACAUUUGGCAUAUUCAUGUACAAGAUUGCCUUCAUAUAUUGUUUUAUACACAUAUAUUAUAUACACAUUUGAAACUGAUUGAAAAAUCUUGAAACUAUUGGAAUUAUAUAAAUUUUUUUUUCCAGACAUCGCUUUUUUAAAUUCUGGCAUUAAGGCUUGUCAAACUUUUGCUCAUCAUUUGGUGUAACGGAGAAAUAUCUAUCAUCAUUUAAUUCCAUAUGUUGAUUACAAGAUGCUGAUUGUUUGAUAUCAUUCCAGGCAGUUCAGUCUGGUCUUCUCAAAAUUCUUUCAAAAAUGGGUAUCUCAUUACUUUCUAGGUAUGUUAUCCAAAUCCUAAUUGUUUUACUUGCCAUGUUCUUCACACCUUCCAUGUAUUAUAUUAUUUUGUCAGUUUACAACUAUGAUUUUCCUUCUAUGAUUUCUCUUCUUCUUUUCAAGCUAACUGAGACAUCCUCUUUCCAUUUUCUUGUGCUUAGUUAUUGUGGGGCCCAGAUAUUUGAGAUUUAUGGAUUAGGAAGGGAGGUUGUCGAUCUUGCAUUUUGUGGAAGUGUAUCUAGUAUUGGUGGAUUGACCCUUGACGAGGUAAGAAACAUAACAAAAUGAAGCAAUUGGCCUUAACUUUAAGGUUUUAUUUGGUGGUAUUUCCAUUCUCAGAAAAAAAACUGAGGAAUAUGACAUUCUGUGAGAUUUAAGAUUGAAAUCAUUCAGAUAAAACUCUUGUAAGAUCAGACUAUUGGAUUUCCUUUAUGAUAUUAUGCUUUUUCUUUAUUUAAGAAUACAAAUGCUCUUUAUGCAAUUGAUGUUAAUAUUUUUUAUCCGAUUUACAAUUGGAAAAUAUUUACAGUGUGGAAAUUUAUUCCAUAAGUGAUAAGUGAAGUGGUAUUGCUUUGAGAAAUAAGAAGUUUUGAAAUAUAAUUACUGCAACCAUGCAGCUAUGCACAAGAGCUACAGUAUUGAAAACUCUUUUACUAGGAUAAAAAACCUGUAAAUUUCUCCAUAUUACUGCAAUGAUGCAGCCAAGCACAGCAGCUAAAGUAUUGAAGUCUAUUUUGCUAGGAUAAGAAGCCUGUAAAUUUCCCCAUGGCUUGUUAUCAAGUAUACAGCUGUAAGUAAAUAUGACAUACACAAUUUAGUACCUUAUUCUGCUAGAAGGAGGUGGGUUAAGGAGAGGUCCUUCUCCUUUCAGGUUCGAAAAUAUGUGGCUAAAAGUGGAGGGCUUUCUUGACCUUGUCCGGAGUUGGUGGAGGGAAAUAGAGGUCAGGGGUACAGCUAGUUACAGACUGGCAGCAAAGACGAAGGAGCUCAAACAGAAACUGAAAGUUUGGAAUAGAGAGGUCUUUAAUAACCUGGAAGAUAACAAAAGAACAGCCUUGCAGCAAGUGGACCAUUGGGAUGGUGUGGAAUGUGAAAGAUGCUUGUCCUUGGAAGAGACAGAAUUAAAAAAGGAAGCAAAGGAAAGCUAUAAAAAAUGGGUUAUGUUGGAAGAAAGUCAUUGGAGACAACUAUCAAGGGAGGUGUGGCUUAAGGAAGGGGACAAGAAUACGGGAUUUUUUCAUCGAAUGGCGAAUGCCCACCGUAACAACAAUACGUUGGAUAGAGUAAAAAUUGAUGGGGUUUGGUUGGAAGAGAAUCAGGAAGUAAGGGAGGGGAUUGCAAAUGCUUUUCAUCAGAGGCUCUCAGAAGAAGUGGGGUGGAAGGCGGAUAUUGAGGGGAUCCAAUUAGACCGGAUUAGCCACCAAGAAGCAGAGAGUCUGGAGAUUCCAUUCUCUGAAAAUGAGAUCCAUUCUGCUUUAAUGGAUAUGAGUGGGGAUAAAGCCCCUGGGCCGGAUGGUUUUACUAUGGCGUUUUGGCAAAGAUCUUGGGAUUUCGUGAAAGAGGAGAUCUUGGAGAUGUUUAAGGAGUUUCAUGAGCAAGGAUCCUUCCUCAAAAGCCUCAAUAACACUUUCCUGGUUCUGAUUCCUAAGAAAGGGGGAGCGGAUGACUUGGGUGAUUUUAGACCCAUUAGCCUCCUGGGGGGGCUAUACAAAUUGAUGGCUAAAGUGUUAGCUAAUAGACUCAAGAGAGUGCUAAACAAAGUGGUAGCCCCUACUCAGAAUGCGUUUGUGAUGGGGAGGCAAAUCCUUGAUGCUUCUCUUAUUGCAAAUGAGGUGAUAGACUCAUGGCAGAAAAGAAAAGAGAAAGGGCUCAUAUGCAAGUUGGAUAUUGAGAAGGCGUAUGACAGCAUUAAUUGGAACUUCUUGCUGAAGACUCUACACAAAAUGGGUUUUGGUCCUAGGUGGUUGGGGUGGAUGUGGAGUUGUAUCUCUACAGCCAAGUUCUCAGUUCUUGUUAAUGGGGUCCCAGCUGGCUUCUUCCCGAGUUCUAAAGGGCUUCGUCAAGGGGAUCCAUUGUCCCCUUACCUCUUCGUCUUGGGAAUGGAAGUGCUAGAUGCCCUAAUUAGGAGGGCGGUUGUGGGGGGCUACCUUUCAGGUUGCAGUAUCAAGGGUGAUAGGAGGCACAAUCUAAAAAUUUCCCAUCUUUUCUUUGCUGAUGAUACAAUCGUGUUCUGUGAGGCUAACAAAGAGCACCUAACACACUUGAGUUGGAUUCUCUUGUGGUUCGAAGCAGCCUCAGGCCUAAGGAUCAACUUGGACAAAAGUGAAAUCAUCCCAGUUGGUGUGGUGGAGGAGAUUGAGGAGAUGGCAGUGGAAUUAGGAUGUAGGGUGGGAUCUCUUCCUUCUCAGUAUUUGGGCUUGCCCUUAGGGGCUCCGCAUAAAGCCUCCUCAGUUUGGGAUGGGGUGGAAGAGAAAGUGAGAAGGAGACUAGCACGGUGGAAACGUCAAUAUAUUUCAAAAGGGGGGAGAAUCACUCUUAUAAGAAGCGUGUUGGCUAGCAUGUCAAUCUAUCACAUGUCUUUGUUCCGAAUGCCUAAGUCAGUGGCUAAGAGAUUAGAUAAAGUUCAAAGAGAUUUCCUAUGGGGAGGGGGAAGUGAGGAAAAGAAAGCUCAUCUCAUCAAGUGGGAGGCGAUUUGUGAAGAUAAAAGCAAGGGAGGACUAGGCCUAAGGAAGCUGGUGUUCCUGAACAAAGCUCUGCUUGGUAAAUGGGUCUGGAGAUUUGCUAUUGAUAGAGAUGAUCUAUGGAAGCAAGUGAUAGUAGCGAAAUAUGGGCAAGAGGGCCUUGGAUGGAGAGCAAAGAAGGCUUAUGGAACUAUCGGUGUGGGGGUUUGGAAGGAAAUAUGGAAGGAAUCUGACUGGUGCUGGGAUAACAUGGGGUUCAUAGUUGGGAAAGGAAACAAAAUCAACUUUUGGACUGAUGUUUGGUGUGAGGAUACAAGGCUAGCCCAAAGUUUCCCCCACCUAUAUGCUAUGGCUUCGCAUAGGAAUGCGACUAUGGAGGAGAUGUGGGAUUAGAAUUUUGGCCAAGGGGGGUGGAAUCUAAGAUUUUUGAGGGACUUUAAUGAUUGGGAGAUGGAGAUGAUAGGGAACUUGUUGCAUGUGUUGAGGGAUUUCAAGCCUUCUAUGGAGGAAGACUCAGUCCGUUGGAAGGGAGGAAGGAAUGGUAAAUUUAGGGUGAAAGAAGCCUAUAGAUUGGUGACCAGACCGAAUGAUAUUGGUUUUCUUGCUAGAUGCAUUUGGGUGGAUUCAGUUCCAUCCAAGGUUGCAUUCUAUGCUUGGGAGGCUACUUGGGGGAGGGUGCUCACUCUUGAUAGACUUCAGAAAAGAGGAUGGCAGCUUCCUAACUGCUGUUUUCUAUGUGGUUGUGAAGAAGAAACUGUAAAUCACAUUCUUAUUCAUUGUAUAGUAGUCAGAGUUUUAUGGGAUAUUGUUCUUGGGUUAUCAGGUGUGCAGUGGGUUUUUCCAGAAACUGUAAAGGAGGUUCUAACUAGCUGGAGGGGCCCUUUCGUGGGAAAGAAAAGGAAAAAGAUAUGGAAAUCCAUUCCGUUGUGUAUUUUUUGGACGGUUUGGAAGGAAAGAAAUAGGUUAGCUUUUAGGGGAGGAGAGCUUAAUAUCCAAAAGCUUAAGAAUUCUUUUGUGUGUAGUUUGUGGAGUUGGGCUAGAUUGUAUAUUGGUAAGGAGCGUAUGUCCCUUAUAGGGUUCCUAGAAUGGUUGGCGUCCAACUAAGGGAUGGUGAGGCUCGUUGUUUUUUUGGCUUUUUGAGGGGUUUGUUGCUUUGUAUACCCCCUGUAUACUUGUAACUCUUUGCCCUUCAUUAAUAUAUCUUGUUUUACUUAUCAAAAAAAAAAAAAAAAAAAUUUAGUACCUUAUAUGUUUUUUCUUCACCCCAAAAUUUGUUGUGGGUUCUCAAAAUUCCUUGAGAUAAUGAUACACAUGUCUUCUUGCACGAUACUUUGAGCUAAGAAGGUAUUACUGAUUUUAGAGAUUGGUUGGUCAUAUGCUCUGCAUAGAAAAUUAAGGAACUCUUAGAAUAAUUUUGUCCAAGUCUUGGAAGGAUCUCCCAUCCUUCUGUUUUAUAUAACCUUUCACGUAUUGGUUUUUUUUUCCUUAUCUAAAUAAAAAUCAAUCUUGUCCAAAUAUGCAGCCCAGCUCAAUUUUUCUUGUAAACUACUAAUAUAAACAAUUUGUACCUCCAAUCUGACCUUAGAAACCAAGGAGUCCAUUGUUGGCCUGUUCGGGCUUAUAGUGACUCAUGAACUUCUUGGUGGAUGAUGUUGGUGGCCUUUCAUAGUUUAAUUACCUUUGAUUGUUAGUAGACUUAUUUUAAACCUUUGAACUUUUUCAGGGGGACUAUUUAUUUGAUUUAAGACAACUUAAUCUGAUUUUGCUUUAAUUUGUUGACUUAAAGCAUAUUACUUAAUUUUUAGACUUAUUUUAAACCUUUGAACUUUUUAUCAGGGGGAUUAUCUAUUCGAUUUAAGACAACUUAAUCUGAUUUUGCUUUAAUUUGUUGACUUAAAGCACAUUACUUAAUUUUUACUUUUAACUAUUAAGGCUGUUUGGUAAAGUUAAAUUUUUUUGAAACCGUCUAAAUUGGAAAGAGUUGACAAUUGUGGGAGAUUUUAGAUUUAGAAAAAAAGAGGAAAGAACUGAUGGUUGUGGUAGAGAGAUGAUGAGAAUUUGAGAGUUUUAAGCAAUGAGGACACAAAACUAUAGUGGAUUCAGAAAAAUUAUUUUCUUCUAACUUAUUACUUUUAAGUUAAUCUUGUCUUUUAGUAGUAUUAUUAAAUUAUUUACUGAACAUACUUAAUACCUUUACUGGCUUAAAUUAAGUCAUUUGUUUAUAUCAAAUCAUCAAGUCCAUUUACCAAACAAAAUCUUUGUGUUUCACAUAGAUUUGCUUGGAGAACAAUCACUAUAGGUAAUAUGCUUGUUUCUAAUCUUAACCUAGGAAGGGAGAUGUGAAUUUUUCAAUUGUAUUAGUUUAUUAUUACUUGGUGGGCUUCUUGUGGAAAUAAUAUACAACUUGGUUCUUGAGUUGUUUGUGAAUUUAUUUUAAUCUUUUAAACAAUUUUUCAGGUUGUUACAAUUCUGUUGAGUUUUGAAUUGUUUGAUGACUUUGGUCUUUCCAAAUCUUUUCUUUACUACAGCUUGCAAGGGAGACUCUAUCCUUUUGGGUGAAGGCUUUCUCUGAGGAUACAGCUAAAAGACUAGAAAAUUUUGGGUUUAUACAGUUCAGACCAGGAGGUAUGUGUUGUCAAAUGUAUAUAUUUCCUAAAAGCUGGAGUUUAAAAAUUGCAUAACUAAAUUGUAUGUUCUUGUACAGAUUAAUUCUGUUUUCUGGAUACCAAAAUCCAUUUGAAAUUGUAUGAAAAUCAAUAUAGGAAUACAUGGAUUGCUAUGCUGGCCUGAGUUGUAAUUCAUACAAUUUCUUCAAGUUUUAAUUGAAAUGCUGUAAUUUUGUGUCAAAAUUACUGAAAUGUUGCUAAAAGAUUCUCAUGAUUUUGAGGAGAAACUUAUUUAUUGCUGUAAUAAUAUUUUGUUAAACAAAGAAGCCCUUACAUCUGUUGAGGCUGUGGAAAAGUCCAUGUAUGGAGGAAAGUUGUCCAUUGGUUCCAUAACUAAAUAUUGGCAUGACAUUGGUGUGGGGAGUUGGCUUUGAAAGAUCACUUUUCAGUUUUGUUCAGUUUGGCUGCUAGCAAAAGUGCUUGGAUGUUUUGAGUUGUUGUGAGAAGGGAAGGAGGGGGUCGAGGUCAUUGGAAUCCAAGAUUCCUGUGGAUUUUUCGCUGAUUGCUAAUUGGAGUUGGUGGAGUUGUUUCUGUAGCCCUUUCAUUCUGUUAUGGUCUUUGGUGGAAGAGGAGAUUGGCUGGUGUGUUUUAUUUCUAAAUCAGAGUGUUUCUUGUUGAAGCGCUUCAUCAAGUUUUUGCAUCAGGAGGCUUUUCUCUGUUUCCAGCUAGAGAGCUGAAAACAGAAAUGGACUGAAUCUAUUUUUUCUAUUAUGAUUUGAAGAAUACAAUCUGAUAUUUAUAGGCUACACGAGACAUAUUCAAAUAGGAGACUAUACGGUUGUCAAUCUACUCUAGAAUAGAAAAUUAAAUUUGAAUUACAGAUCACAGUCCCAAAUUUAGCUCUCUAAAAUAACAAAAUUAACUACAUCAAAUCUCCUAAAAUAACGCAAUUUUCAACGAGCCAUUGGGGUACUGGGUUCUGGUGUUCUUUCUAGCAUGGGGUUCUUUGCUUGGGAAGCAGUAUGGGGGGAAAUCCUGAUAACCACUCAACUUAUGACAAGUGGUUGGGGAUUCUGGUGAACUGUUGUUGCAUGUCAAGCAAAUGGAGGAAUCCACCCAUCAUAUUUUCCUUCCCUCCACGUGUACUUGUAGUUUGCAUUUGUUAAUUUUUGCCUUGUUUUUAAUGUCUUGGAUCUUGUGUCGUAGCAUAAAAAACGCAUUGGUUGGUUGGCAGGGUAAUUUUAUUGGCUAGGAUAGGAAGAAGGUAAGCAGGAUGGCCCUUUAUGCCUUUCUUGGUGCAUUUGGAAUGAAUUGAGGGUAGAAGAAUUUUGUUGGAUUGGAGAGGUUUGAGUUUGCCCUUGAUUAGAGGGGCUCUCAGAGGGUUGAACAUUGUCUUUAUUAAAUUUCAUAGAUAUGUUGGAGAAGGUAGAGGAUUGAUCUGGAUUGUUGCUUUUGAUCACAUGUACCUAGUUUAUGCACCUGUUUUAUUAUGUGCCUUUUUAGUAUAUAGCCAAUUCAUCUACAGCAGGAAAAAUGGAAAAGAAAAGAAAAAUCAUGCUUGACCAUAUGGACUUGCAAUUGUAUCAAAAUCCCUUAUUUCUCCUUUAGUUGUUAUGUGCCUUUUUGGUAUAUAGCCCAUUCACCUACAGUAGGAAAAAUGGAAAAGAAAAUAAAAGUCACGCUUGGCCCUAUGGAUUUGCAAUUGUAUCAAAAGCCUUUAUUUCUCCUUUAGGACACUGGGAGUUCGAGAGGCCUUAUUUCGUCCGGAUGGUAGUAAAGUUUGACCAUGGUCAGCUAUUUGUUUUUCAACUGUGAGGUGGAUGCAACAUUGUAUAGAUAAAUAAGUCUUGUAGAAAAUUCCUUCCCUCCUGGUAAGGAUCCUAAAGCCAUGCUAAGAAGGAAUAGAUAGGGCUACCUACAUAAAAGGUUUUUCUUCUCCUUUGUCUUCUUUGUUUUAAUGAUAGACCUCUCUCUCUCUCUUCCUCUCCCUCUCUCAUAUAUUUCCUGUCAUUUCUCAGUAGUAUAUCUUAUAAAUUAUCCAUACAUAAAUAAAUAAAAGAAAGAGAACAGUUAUCUCAUUUUAAGUUCAAAUGCAACCUGUUUUCAUAAAUUUGUAUCCAAUUUUUUAUCAUUUUGUUUUAGCCUAUCUGAAAAAGAAAAAAAAAGAUAUUAUCAUUUUGUUUUAGUUUAAUGAUUGUUUCUUUUUCCUCUCCCGAUCUAAAGUUUACUGGCUUUUAGGAUUUAACUUUAUAGUGUUUUGCAAAUAUUUAUUAUGCUUGACCAUUUUCUGAAAAAAAGUUUUAAGCAUGAUAUAUAUAUAUGUAUAUCUAUACAUGAACUUUGGUAUUUGCACUACAUCAAAGAAUGCUAAAGAAUUAUUUGUCCUACUUUUGAAAGGGGAAUAUCAUGGAAACAACCCUGAAAUGUCGAAGCUGCUUCACAAAGCUGUUCGCCAGAAAAGUGAAAGUGCAUUUUCGGUUUAUCAGCAGCAUUUGGCUAAUCGGCCUGUGAAUGUGGGUUUGAAAUCAUUAGUAUUCUUAAUAGUAAGAAAUAAAUAAUCUGAUGCUAACAUAUAUUUUGCUAUUUUAUCCAUAGGUUCUUCGUGAUCUUCUUGAGUUUAAAAGUGACCGUUCCCCAAUUCCAUUGGGAAAAGUUGAACCUGCUGCUUCCAUUGUUCAACGGUUCUGCACUGGUGGGAUGUCACUUGGAGCUAUUUCAAGAGAAACCCAUGAAGCAAUUGCCAUUGCAAUGAAUAGAUUAGGUGGAAAAUCUAACUCAGGAGAAGGUGGUGAGGUAUUCUGUUUUACUUGCACAAUUACUGAGGAGCCAACUUUUAGUGUAUAACUAUGGUCUGAUCUAGUUACAUUAAGUUCAUGAAAAAACAUAACUCUGAAAUAACUCUAAAAUUAAGGUAUUUACUUCCUUUUUUCUGUCCAGGAUCCUAUUCGCUGGAGCCCACUUACAGAUGUUGUUGAUGGGUACUCUCCAACACUGCCACAUCUCAAAGGUCUUCAAAAUGGGGAUACUGCUACAAGUGCUAUCAAGCAGGUCAUGACACUAAUCUUUGCUUUAGAAUAAGUUCAUACAAUUCUCCAAAUCCAUCUCAGGAUGUUGCUUUUAUCCAACAAAGAGUCUAAUGAAAGAAGAAAUGAGAAGGAUUUGUGAGCCAACUUCAACUUCGGCUAUAUCCUCUUAAUAUCACAUAUAGACUUGUGAAUGACUAAAAUACCAUUUAAACAACAAAGAACUUGUCAUGAUAUGAAUAAUACUCCCCCUCAAGCUAGAGCAUAGAAUGCAUCAUCCCCUGCCUUUUUACAUAGAACAGAAGAAUUUCUUUGGCCUCCAUCCUUUUUUUGCAAAAGCAUCUUCAAUUCUCUGACUUGAAAGAACAUAAAAACAAGAAAGAAAAAAAAAAUUUUAAAAGAUGAAGCCAAACUCCUCCUUACCACUACCAAGUUCAUUGAUAAAAUCAAAGAAAAUUUUCAUUCUUCGAAGGAAUCCUAGAUCCACCUGAAAAGGAACUUGAGCAAGUAAUUCUUUCAGUUCCUGAUCUGACUGCUCCACCUUCUCAAAAUUCUGAUAUUACUGUCUCUCUAAAUGCACCAAAACAAGCAGAAGGAGCCAACUUGCACAUCUUCCUUGACCUCUUACCCAGAAAACUAUAGCAUGCCAUGCCAACAGUGACUCUCUAGUUAACCAUAGGAAAAACCAUGAAGUCCAUGAGGGAAGAGCACAAAAAGAUCCCAGAUGAAGUGACUCAGACCAUAAUGAAUUUGAAUAUGAUUAACUGACCCCUUUCUGUUGCAAGGAGGGACAUCUUAUGAUGUGCUCUCAAACCUCACUUCCCCUUGGUGGGAAAUGGAUAAGAAGAUUCCAAACCUAAGGAUUCUUAGGACUUAGCAGAAGAAAAGGACCAUUCUGCUCACACUUCCACACCAAACUAUCCUCCUGCUACUGGGACAACCAGUAAAUGAAUGAACUGAAACAAAAUUUGCAUCAACACCUGUUCUCAUCAUGGAACAAUCUCAAAGAAAGGGAAUUACAAUGGCCAACAAUAGCUUCCAUUUUUUGAGAGAGGCAUGUUCAAACAGAGAGGGGAAACCAUCUUUAAUAGAAUACCCCCCACCAUGCCUUCUAUCAGUUGAAAACUUGAUCAUGAGAUUAUGCCCAACUAAAAAGCAUCUACUAGGUCAAAAGAAUUCCCUAUCCUUUGUAAUAGCUUUCAACAGACCCAACUCAAAACCAUCCCCAUAAUCCCUCACAGCAUGAAAAGCAGCCUUGAUGUGCUUUUUCCCCCUUAGAUCACAGGAUUAUUGGCAAUAUGCACCGCAGCCUGAUAGGGGCUUAAUGAAACAUUCCUCUUAUUACAGACUCUUUUAUAGCAUCUCAUAUGAGGUAAAAAGAAGCCAAGCUCAGGUGAAGUAUUUAGGUCUUUGGGCUGGGCUUGAUUGACAAACUAAUAAUGCCCAGACUCAUCUCAGACUUGGUUGAAAUAUGUUUAGCAAAGUUCAAGCUUAGCUCAUCAAGAACAGUAAUUGUUUGGCUCAGUUUGUUAGAGUCGUGUGGUUUUGAAAAACUAGGAAAAGUUUCUAAAUUUGUUAUGAUUCUGUGAUUGAUCAAACAUAUACAUUUUCAGAAGAAAACUAUUUAUAAGUUCUUUGAAAAGGACCUAAUUGAUGUAUCAAUACAUUAUUAUGUCUGUUCUUUUUUCUUCUCUCUUUUUUUUUUUUUUAAACUGAGUAUAAAAGGCUUUAUGUGGAAAACAAUUUGAAGAUAAUCAAGUACUGAUUGAAUGCUGUUGAAAUUUUUCAAGACUACAAUUAACUUACGAAUGAACUCAAACAUGCGGUUAACUUAGCCAAACUGAAGCCAAGCUCAAGUACAUCUGUUCAUUUUACAGCCUCUUCACAACACUUAAGCCCUGUUUGUUCAAAUAAAACAGAAAUCAGGGUUGAAAAUAUGUUUGAAUGAUAUUUUACCAUUUUCUUUUUCUAGAAAAUUGACCUCAAAAAUGGAAAAAUUGAGAAGGCCAAUUUGGUGUUUCCAAAAUUUUCUUAUGAAAAAAUGAAAACUGUUUUCUAAAAAUUUGAAAACAAAAAAGAGAAUAAAAUGAAAUAAAAGACUUUGUGGGACUUGUAAUAUAAAAGUAAAACAAAUAUUAAUAUGAAUAAAGCAUCAUCUCAUAUAUAUUUGAAAUCAAGUAUUAUCUUAAAAGUACAAUAUUAAUGUUUUGUUAUUUAUUAGACUAUGUAUUACUAUAAGUGGAUGUAUUUUAUAUUAUAAUAAUUUAUUUGAUUAACUAUAAGCAUAUUGAAAUAUCUUAUUAAACUAUUUUAAAAUAAAAAAGAUAGUAAACAAAUAAAAAAAUAAUGAACAGAUCAAACAUGGUCACAUAUAGUGUAUAUAAAAUUAUAUUUAUUAUUACAAUACAUAUUAUAAAAAUAUUAUCCUUUUUAAUGACAUAUCUCAUACCAUGAUAUUUAUAUUAUAUGAACUUUUAAUUAUAUUUCUUUUCACCAUUUUUUUGUCAGUGAAAACUAAAAGACAAACAAGAUUUUGCCGAUUUCAUUUUCUAAAAACAAUUUUCAGUUUUCUUUAUCAAAUGCAUUUUCAAGAAGAGGAAAAAUGGGAAGAACGUUGUUUUAGAAAAUGUUUUCCCAACCAAACGCAACCUUAGUUUCUUGCCCUUCCAUGUCACUUGGUCACCUCACACAGAUGUACAAUCUCUAAGUCUUUCUAUUUAGACUCACCUCACACAAAUGUACGAUUUCUAAGUUUUUCUAUUAAGACUAUCAUUGGACCUAUCAACUUUUGCAAAAGUUUUGGUAUCUAUAUUAUUACUAAGGUACCAUAGCCUUAUUGAACUUUUGCAAAAGUUCAAAUCCUACAAGCUUAAGUUUUUAGAAAAUUGGUAGUUCAACAUGGUAUCAAAACCUUGUUUGGUGAGAGGUCAUGUGUUCAAACCUCACUAGUAUAUAUUUAUAUCCCCAAUUUAGUAAGCAAGUCCAAAGGAGGCUGAUUGUGGUUGGUAGAGUACAAGAUUCUAAUGCCUCCUAUUAUAGUUGGGGGGGAUUUUGCACAGGUUAAUUACACCAAUUUCAAUGUUAUAUAUAUUAAUUUCCCACAAGUUCUCUAUCUCUCUCAAGGUCAUUUAUAAGUUUACUCUCUCACCUUUAGUAGAUCAACUACAUGCUUUCUCUGUCACAAUGAUACUCAUUUCUAGGCCUACUGACUUCUAUGUGCAGUGAAUAAUAUCUGAGCCAAUCCAGACCUUUCAUGUGCAAGUAUCUACCCUUAUAAGACUUAAAAUCAUCACUUUUCACAUCAUUACCCAUAAAAAUUGUCAUCUGUCAACAUUGUCAGCAUGAUCAUACCACUUAGCUGUUACUGCACAAACUGGGAGUGGUUAGAGGUGAUUUUCUCCCUUCUACAUUUUUCCAUGAUUAUACUGAAUUUAUUAAAUAAAGCCCGUGCAGACUGCUUCUAGCACAUAAUUAGCCUUCUGACAGAGGGUAUGUGGCUUUUUAAACAAUAUACCCAGAGGGUUGAUUCCCAUUCAACCUUUCCAUUGUUUCCAUGUAAAAAUUCAUUCUUGAUGUCAAAUUGAUUCAAAGGUCAACUACAAACAACCAGAAUAGAUAAACUCAUAUGAAAUGAAUAGUCAAUUCUAAACAUUUUAAGUAUACCUUUUUGCCAAUAGACUAGUUUUAGCCUCUCAAUGAUGCACUUGGAUGAUAUUUAUUAAGAUGUUACUAAAUAACAAAUAAAAGAUUGAUGGGAAUUUUGGAAUGAACAAAAGAGUGUUUGGAGAGACGAUGUUCAAGAGUAACUUCAUACAAUGUGGAAAAUAAAUGUGGUUGAGCAGAGCCAUGAAAACAACUCAAGGUGGCAAAACAAAUAAUGAUGCAAGUGAAAGUAGCGACAUCAGCAGCAGAUAUUGUCCUGUCCAUUUGCAUUAAAGCAGAAAAAUCCUCACGAGGAGUAAAAGAGUCAUUAGUGCAAGUGCUUGGCUAAGUCUAGUGUCACUUACAGUAUGCUGAUGGGUAGUGCUUUCCUUUGUUUAGAUACACUACCUUAUUUGUUUAAAUACACUACCUAAUUAGCCCAAAGAGAUUAUUAGACAGUAGCUUCUCUACUUAUUCAUUUACUAUAAGCAAUACUUCACAGAAUAUUAUUCCGUCUUCUCCAGGUUGCUUCUGGUCGUUUUGGUGUCACCCCCACAUUCUUGGCCAAUGCUGACCAGUUAGAAAUCAAAAUUGCACAAGGUGCAAAGCCUGGCGAAGGUGGUCAAUUGCCUGGGAAGAAAGUCAGUGCAUACAUUGCAAGAUUGAGAAAUUCGAAACCUGGUGUUCCACUUAUAUCUCCGCCUCCACACCAUGAUAUUUAUUCUAUUGAGGAUCUUGCUCAAUUGAUUUUUGAUCUUCAUCAGGUUGAUAUUUUCUAGAUCAUUAGUCAGCUUAUUUUUUAAAAUUGCAGUUUGGUAAUUUUUUCUCAACGGCUGAAAAAAGCUUUAAUUCCAUCCAUAUGGGCUGCCUAAAAUAGAUAUAUACCCAGAACUGUGAUGAAAUGAUCACUAAUGUUUACUGAACAAACAGGUCAAUCCAAAGGCUAAGGUAUCUGUAAAGCUUGUUGCAGAAGCUGGAAUUGGCACGGUUGCUUCUGGGGUCGCUAAGGGUAAUGCUGAUAUCAUACAGGUAAUUGCCCAUGACAGAAAAAUGCUUAUGUGUGUAUACCAUUUAGAAAAAUAAAAUUUUUCUUUUUGUUUUUUGUUGAAUAUCUUCUGAUCCUUUCUAAUGCAUUUGCUGAAACUGUAAGAGUAUCAAUUGGAGACAAAUGGGAAAGUCAGCCUGUUAAUCCUUCUUCAAUUUUAGAAACUUCUUAUAUGUUGAGAAGAGUCAAAUUUGUGUUUAAUAUCUCUAAUUUUGAUUUCAGAUAUCGGGGCAUGAUGGUGGAACUGGAGCCAGUCCCAUAAGUUCCAUCAAGCAUGCUGGUGGUCCUUGGGAACUUGGACUUUCAGAAUCACAUCAGGUUUAUUUAAUACCUGCGAAUUAACAUUAGAAAUAGCUUUCUUCCUUCUCUUUAAGGAUACUUUAGGUUUAUUUAUUUAUUGGUAAACUUCCUCAGACGCUCAUUGAAAAUGGACUCAGAGAGAGGGUCAUUCUCAGAGUUGAUGGCGGUUUUAAAAGUGGAGUUGAUGUCAUGAUGGCUGCAACAAUGGGUGCUGAUGAGUACGGGUUUGGGUCUGUGGCAAUGAUUGCUACUGGAUGUGUUAUGGCCCGCAUUUGCCACACUAACAAUUGCCCAGUUGGUGUUGCCAGUCAGGUAUUAGAGAGCCUGAUUUGUUAGAUUGUGCUUUUAUUUCUUGUGGCCCUCUCUUAACAUAUUUGGAUGAGUUUGUCUUAUUUUCUUUCUUUAAUCAAAUUUACAUCAGAGAGAAGAACUCCGUGCCCGUUUUCCUGGUGUGCCUGGUGAUCUUGUGAACUUCUUUUUAUAUGUAGCUGAGGAGGUAAUCCACCUGCUUGCCACCUUUCUUUCUUUCUUUCUCUCUCUUUUUUUUUUCUUAUUCUUAUUUUGACAGAAUUAGUGUUCUCAUGCUUGCUUCCCCAUUUUGACAUUUUGUUUAUUCAGACCAACUGAUUUUACUGAAUUCUAAAAUUUUCCUGAUUUAAAUUCUAUAGCCAUUAUGGAAGGCUAUUAGAAAUGGGUAGGUGAGCUUUAGAAGUAGAUCUCACUUCAUAGUGUGUAAUGGAAGGAGGGUAAAAUUUUGUGGGAAAAGUUCUUUGUAAGAAUCUUUUCUGGUGCUUUUCUUUAUAGCCGUUGAUAAAGAUGCUUGGGUCGCAGAGAUUUGGGAGUAGGUCUGGGGAAAGGGGUCAACAAUUGGGAAUUGCAAUCGAGCUCAAUUAAAAGGGAUGAGAAGGAUAGAUUGGAGUAGAAGGAAACCAAGUAUGGCAAAUUCUCUAUUAAAUCUUAUUACACUUCAUCAACCUAGGGAAAAAAUGAAUCUUUUCCUGCUGGCAUUGUGUGGAACCGUUGGGUUCCUACAAAGCUAGGUUUCUUUCUUUGCUUGGGAAGCUGUAUGGGAAAGGAUUUAAACACUUGACCAACUCAAAAAGAGGGAUGGUUUUUCCAAACAAAUGCUACUUAAAAGGGAAGAAGAGCCAAUUGAUCAUAUGCUCCUUCACUUCAAAGCAAGAAUUCUAGGGUAGCUGGUUUUUUCUAUUUUUUGAGUGACUUGGGUGGCAUGGCUCUUUUGUGGGGAAGAAGCAGAAGAAAGCUUCUAAGGCUGCUCUUUGUGUCUUUGGACGUGCUGGAUGGAAAGAAAUAGAAGGUUACUUGAAUAUAUUGGACAGUUCGAUCAAGCAAUCAAAUUUUCCAUUGUAUGUAUCUUUUUGUAUUGGGUUAGAGUAUACAUAAAUUACUAUUCCUUGACCAUGAUAGGCUUUAUAGAUUGGUUGAGCUCAAAGUAGGUAGAGGGAGGUUGUUUUUGGUUUUCUUUCUUCCUUUUGGCUUGCCUGAUGAUGCUACUUGUAUACAUCAUAUGCGUGCAUCCUUUUUCAGGCGCUUUUAAUAUAUUUUAUCCUUUUGUCUAUCAAAAAAACAAAGAACUCCUGAUUUAUAGCCAUGCUAAUUUGGCCUAUAAUUCAAGGCUCAUAGGUUUAUUUUCUGUACUCAUGUUGAUACACCUUUUUUGUCCAGGUUAGAGGCAUAUUGGCACAACUGGGCUUUGAGAAACUUGAUGAUGUAAUUGGACGAACGGAUCUAUUAAGACCACGAGAUAUCUCAUUAGUGAAAACUCAACAUCUUGAUCUAAGUUACAUUCUCUCAGUAUGUAUUAAAAAAUCGCUUACUUUCCCACCAUGUGUGCUUACAUGUUUAUUUUUCUAGCUCAUUUAGAUCAAAUUUUUGCUGUUAUUUCCAGAAUGUUGGCUUGCCAAAGUGGAGCAGUACUGAGAUCAGGAAUCAAGAUGUACAUUCUAAUGGUCCUGUUUUGGAUGAUAUUAUACUUGCAGAUCCUGAGGUAAAAAUAUUUGAUAUCUAAUGGAUGCUUAGUGGUGUUUUGCUUAUUGGUGUGUAAAUCUUAUAAUUUAUUCUCUGCUUCCAAUAGUCAGCAGGCAUUGGCUUUGUCAAUGUCUAGUUGGAGUGGGAUUAGUGUGGUUCCAGGUUUCAAAUCUUGUGGGGGGUGGUAAUGUGCACCAUUGUAUUAGUAAUAGGAAGAAAGAGAUCCUCCAGUCUGUUGUUGUAUGUAGUUUACCAUUGCUGGAACUAUAAUUUCACUUUGGUAAGGUUAUUCAUAGUUUUCGAAAUGAUUGUCAUUUAACUGGAAGGUUCAAAAUGGAACUCUCAUCUUUUUGCCUUGAACUUGCAUGGAACUUUCUAGUAUAUUGAAGUAAAGGUCCCAUGGUGUCUGUUUACUCACAGUAUAGUUUUAGUUGAUAAAACCAGAGCAGGGGUCGUUACCAAGUUAACAUUCUAAAGGCUUUCAGACUGUUUCAUGUAUAUAAGAUGGUUGAAUCUCCCCGUAAGAGACCACUCUAAUUUGUCCCUCCCAAUAGACCAUUGUUAGAAGCAGGCAGAUUCUGGUUGUGGUACUUGUAGCUAACAGCAUGGUGGAAGAAAGGCUUAGGCAAAUGGAUACUAAAGAUUAUGUGGAUUUUAGUAAUUAUCUGUUUCAACUGUAAAUACUAAUUGAAGAUCAAUAUUAAUAACAUUCUUAAAAUAUGUAACAAAGAGGUUUAUAUUUUUAUGCUACUUAAUCUGUACAGACAUGGUUGCUUAUCUGUGCAGACAUCUGAUGCAAUUGAGAAUGAAAAAGUAGUCAAUAAAAGCAUAAAGAUAUACAAUGUGGACCGUGCUGUUUGCGGGCGUAUAGCAGGUGUGGUUGCAAAGAAAUAUGGUGAUACUGGUUUUGCCGGGCAGCUGAACAUAACGUAAGAGAUGACAUUGUCAUAAGAGGCAAUGAUAUUUUGAAGGAUAUAUUUAAGUUUUUACAGCUUCAUUGAAAAGUUAGUAAGAAAAUCUCUUUAUUCAUCCAGAUUCACAGGGAGUGCUGGGCAGUCAUUUGCAUGUUUUCUGACACCUGGAAUGAACAUUCGACUUAUAGGGGAGGCUAAUGACUAUGUGGGAAAGGUACAUGGAUUGAAUUAAAUGAGUUGCAUUUGUGCAAUUUUCUAAAACUUGAAGUUAAUAUCAGACAUAAUUGAAUUGAGUUUCAGGUUACCAAUGCUCAUCUGACUCAAAAUUUGACAGUUUACCUUCUGUUUUCAUUAUAAUGGUCCAUGAAUAGGACUAAACUUUGCUUAGUUUAUAUUCAUAUCUUUUCUGGUUAUACUGGUACUAACAGAUCUCUAGGGUUUUCUUUCUUAUUAAGCUAUUUUUAGCUUUUGGUUCAAAGUGAAAGAAACUAGAAAGCUUAUUUUUUUCCAUUGUUGUAUGUCUUGCCUCUUUUCUUCAACUUUUUUUAUAUACAAAAUAAUAAUUUAAGUGAUGUAAUAUCAAUAUGAAAUAUUCCAGGCUGAGUUGAAUUGACAUGUUAACCAUUCCUAGUUCCUAUCUACUUUUAAGUCAAGUCUUCUUGUAUUUAUUAUCACGUUUCCUUGUUUAUUUUCAUUCUCUAAUCUCAAUGAUAAUUUUGCAAGGGUAUGGCUGGAGGUGAAUUGGUUGUGACUCCUGUUGAGGAUACUGGGUUUCUCCCCGAGGAUGCAACUAUAGUAGGAAAUACUUGCCUAUAUGGAGCAACAGGUGGUCAAAUCUUUGUCAGAGGGAAAGGUGGGGAACGAUUUGCAGUUAGAAACUCACUUGCUGAAGCAGUAGUAGAAGGCACUGGAGACCACUGUUGUGAGUACAUGACCGGGGGUUGUGUGGUUGUACUUGGAAAGUGAGUACUCUCUCUUUUACCUGCCAUAGCUAUCAUGGUCAAACAAAGCAAAGGAAAUUCUGUAUAGAAGUUUUAAGCCACUUUUGUAUUCCUUUUUGACAGGGUGGGUAGAAAUGUAGCUGCUGGAAUGACUGGAGGUCUGGCAUACAUUCUUGAUGAGGACGAUACUCUCAUCCCCAAGGUUUGAGCCACUGAAUUCUUCUUUCCCUCCAUUGGAUGACAUGUUUUGCAUAGAAAUAAAUUUCCCUGUUUUAGUGUUGAUUUUGUACCUCCUUCAUUUUCUUCUUUUAUGGUUUGCCUCCUGCAAGGAAACAUGGCAAUGUCUCUUACCUCUUACCAUAGAAGCAAGCCAAGUCUAAGCUUCUUCCCUUGGUCUCCUCAAGUAAAAGUCUCAUGCAUACUUUGGUUUGGACUUCAAGCAUAGCCAUUAACACUGCUGUUCUUAAGAUUAUAGAGUGUGCAUAUAUCCUCGUUUUUCAUUUACUAGUAUGGUUUUUUUCCUUUCAUUUGCUUUAUUUUCUUCAUAUUUGCUUUACUGUUUGUAACUUAAAUGCAAAUUCGAAACUUAAUAAAUUAUGUUCAACAAAUGCAGUCAUAUAUACUUCACUUUUGAUUUCAAACAGAGCCAUUAUUAUCAUUGCUGUUCUUGAGAUUACCAACUGUACACAUAUCCUCAUUUUCAUUGACACUGUGUUCUUAUCUUCUUCCUAUUUGCAUUAUGGUUUUUGACUUCAAAACUCUCUAGUUACAUUUUAUAAAAAUGUAACAGGUAAAUAAGGAGAUUGUGAAGAUCCAGAGAGUGACUGCCCCUGUGGGGCAGAUGCAGCUAAAGAGCCUGAUUGAAGCCCAUGUUGUAAGUACACUUAGUUCUUCAUAUUUGACAAUAGUCCCUUAAGGAGGCCAAGAAAGUGUUUUUGAAAACAGCUUUGAAAAAUUGUUUUUGUGAACUGUUCUUUAAUAUUUAGUAAAACAGGAAUUUGAAAUGUGUUUGACCUGUUUUCUAUGUUUUUUAAUAUUUUUUUAAAAUAACUUUUAUCAGUAUUGUUUUAUUUUCAAUCAUUUUCCAUAUUUGUAUAAUUAUUUUUUAAAACAACAUUAAAAAAUAGAUGAAAACAAUUGAAACCAAUUAAAAUAUGUUCUCAAAAAUCACAAUGUUUUAUGUUUUUAAGAACAAAAAACUAUUUUCCAUUUUCUGAUUACCAAACAUUUUUCAUUUUUUUGUUCUUAAAAACCAAAAACUGUUUUUAAAAAUAGCUUCCAAACAUGCCUUAAGCCUUUUCUAAGCAUAUACCCUUAUCUGCGGCACUCUUGAGCAUAUAUACCAUAUUGAUGUACACUUCUGAGUCAUUAUAUUUAAUGUGUGAAGGAAAAAACUGGAAGCAGCAAAGGCUCAGCUAUUUUGAAGGAGUGGGAUACAUACCUGCCUCUCUUCUGGCAACUGGUUCCUCCCAGUGAGGAAGACACCCCAGAAGCUAGCGCAGAGUUUGAGAGAACCGAUGCUAGCCAGGUGACGUUGCAGUCAGCUUAAUACGAUAAUAAGACAAUACCCUGCAGCCAGUGACAUGAUUUCAAAAGUUGCACUGCAUGGAAACAUGUGAGAACUGGGAAGAUGGAUAUUCUUCAGCUGGAAAAUACAGGUUAAAUAAUGGGGAUAUGGCGAAAUGGCUCAAAUCACAGGGUUACAAAAAUUGUUAAAGAUAAUUUUCAUUGCCUUCAGUUGGAGACCCUGAUUUGUUCAUAUGGAAAAGCAUUUGCAUUCCCACUCCAGUUGUGUAUAGAACAGCUGCUAGAAACUGUAAAUCUUUUAGGAACUUUCAUGGAAAUUCCUCACUGUUCCAUUCGUUAAAGUAAAAAAAAAAAAAAAAAAAUUGCUGGAUGGCCAUUUGAACUAUUGUUCUUCCAUUGAUUGCUGUAUUCAGGGAGAAGUUUGAUCAAUGAAUCCCUUCAAAUAUGGGAUUUGGAAUCAAAUAAUGGCAUAUUUUGCAUGGUAACUCUUUUCAUGCCCAGGUGUACGUACCCGAUACAGUGGCAUUCUUGUUAUUUUAUGAGGAGACAAUACCUAAAUGUAAAUUACCAAUGAAUGCUUAAAUGUCCCAAAUUUUUAUUCAGACGUUAUUGUAUUUGGAGAGAACAAAGAGCUGCAUAGUUACUAAAGAAAUAAUUUACUGAUGCAUCUUGGAAUUUGGAAGUCGGACUAUUUAACUAGCUUGGGUUCAAUCUCGAGCAGCCACAAGAUCUCAGCUGGCCGAAGCCUAGCUGGAAACAAUCCAAUACACCAUUCGACUCGCUCAUUGCAGCUCUGCUCCUAUUCUAAUGAAAUAAUCACGGUGUUUGUAUUUGAUAUUUCAUGUAAAUUUUCUUUCUUUUUUUUAUUAUUUCCAUUUUUUUUCAAAUAUAGAUAUGUUUCAUCAACCUUGAAAUUGAUUAGUUUACCUAACCUUCGCAGAAAGAAUUAUAGCAUUUUGUAGAUGGUCUUAACCAUUUUCGACUACUUCUUUAAGAGUCGUUGUUCAAGCAAUGUGUAAUGGUAUUAAACUAAUUAGUUUAAGUUGAUAAUUUUAUUUUAAAUAUUAUUGAAUUCGACCUUACAUACUCAAAACUUUUAAGUUGAGAGUUGAAGAUGCCUGAUCCAUGUUGAUUUAUUCUAAGGAUUAUUUAGGUAAAUGGGGUUAAGUUGUUCUAAUGAUACUGUGGACUUGGAAAUCUCUUGAAGCGAUCGUCUUAAUGAACAAAGGUGUAGGUACACAUAAUAAUAUAUAAAUAAAACUUAACUUAAUAAUGCAAAGCACUCAUCUUAUUCAAGGGAAGUCAUCCAUAAAAUUAUUCAAAGGAAGUCAUCCAUAAAAUCAUCCAAAUAUUGACGAUGAUGAUAACAUGGAAAGAAAAUCAUCACACUAAAAAAUCAUAACAUAUUGGUGAUUAUGACUAGUCCAAAUUUCACUUAUGUUUCAAUGUUGGCAUGGCUCAAAAUUUGAAAUUUUAUUAAAAUAUUGUAUGAUAUUCUUGAAAUUUCAAACCUUGGACCAUGUUAAUAUUUUAUAACUUUUGUGGAUCAACUACUAGAAUUUUGGAUAUAUCCCUAUUUUUUUUUUUUUCAAAAUUGAAAAAAUAUAUAUUUUUUUAUACAAAUAAUUGAGACUUGUUUAUCUAUAUCAUAGACAAAACUAUAACCUCUUUAAAACAUUUUCUACCUAAAAAGCUCCUCCUAAAAUAUUUACAUUCCCUAACAAACCAAAAAGUCCCUCCAAAAACCGAUGAUGUCAUUUCAAUUUAUAACAACUCAAUUUCCCUUGUAUCUCAAUCAUGUCUUCUUAAUUAAUAUGAUUCAUUCCCCCUUAAUAAUGAUUACUAUUUUGUGUUGUCUUUUUGGACCCUUAAAUUUCUGUAUCUCUAGUUUCUUCAUGCAAGAGAAAAAUGGUUUCCAUCUCCCAUUUGUAAGGUACAAACCUAUAAAUUCUCAACUCCCAAAUCGUAUUAAUUUUUUUCAAUAUCAUUAUUUUUCUUGUUUUAAAAAAGCAAUAUGAUUUAAAAUAAAAAAAUAAAAAUUCCCUACCUUAAAUUUCAAAUUUUCAAAACAACUAUGCAAUCAUAUUGUUAGGAAAAUCCAUUAGCAAUUAAUUGAGUUUUGUACCGUUUAAUCGAAAUAUCAAAUACCAAGUAUCAAUUUUAUACAAAGUUGAAAAUUUCUCAAUCAUUGCUUGGAAGACGUCAAGAAGAACGUAGGAGAUGAGAAUUCACAAUCUCAUAAGAUGUUAAAGUAGCCAUAAAAGGAGAAAAAUGAGCAAGAGAAUCAAAAACCAAAGUUUCAAUUUUUGCAUAAAAACUACUUGCAUCAUCCAAAAAAUGAUCAAUGCAGACAAGUUCAAACUAAGAGAUAUUAUGAAACUAGUAGAAAUAGGAAAGGUACAUGUUCAAAGAAGUAGUAGAAGAUGAAAAACUACAACUAUCAAGAAAAGAGAGAAGACAACACAAAACUAAACCAUCAAGGAUAAAAGUUGAUAUAAAACUAUCAAGAAAGAGAGAUAAAAAAGGACACGAAAUCAUAGAAAUAAGACAGAUAGACAAAACUUAGAUUUAGAUUCAAAAAAUAAAGACUAAUAGAAUUUAGAUUCAUAUUAUUUCCAUUUUUUUUAAAUAUAAAUAUGUUUCAUCAACCUUAUGAUAUGAUGAAAUUGAUUAGUUUACCCAACCUUCGUAAAAAGAACUAUAGCAUUUUGUAGAUGGUCUUAAUUAUUUUCGACUGCUUCUUUAAGAGUCGUUGUUUAAUGUGUUACAGUAUUAAACUAAUUAGUUUAAGUCGAUAAUUUUAUUCUAAUGUGUUACGAUAUUAAACUGAUUAGUUUAAGUUGAAUUUUUUUUUCUAAAUAUUAUUGAAUUCGACCUUACAUACUUAAAACUUUUAAGUUAAGAGUUGAAGAUAUGAGAUCCAUAUUGAUUUAUUCUAAGGAUUAUUUAGGUAAAUAUGGUUAAGUUGUUUUAAUGAUAAUGAUAUUGUGGACUUGGAAAUCUUUUGAAAUCUUUUGAAGCGUUCGUCUUAAUGAACAAAGGUGUAGGUACACAUAAUAAUAUAUAAAUAAAACUUAAUUUAAUAAUGCAAAGCACUCAUCUUACUCAAGAGAAGUCAUCCAUAAAAUCAUCCAAAUAUUGACGAUGAUGAUCAAAUGGAAAGAAAAUCAUCACACUAAAAAAUCAUAACAUAUUGGUGAUUAUGACUAGUCCAAAUUUCACUUAUGUUUCAAUGUUGGCAUGGCUCAAAACUUGAAAUUUUAUUAAAAUAUUGUAUGAUAUUCUUGAAAUUUCAAACCUUGGACCAUGUUAAUAUUUUAAAACUUUUGUGGAUCAACUACUAGAAUUUUGGAUAUAACCCUAUUUUUUUAUUUUCAAAAUUGGAAAAAUAAUUUUUUUUAUUCAAAUAAUUGAGACUUGUUUAUCUAUAUUAUAGACAAAACCAUAACCUCUUUAAAACAUUUUCUACCUAAAAAGCUCCUCCUAAAAAAAUUACAUUCCCUAAUAAUCCAAAAGGUCCCUCCAAAAACCGAUGAUGUCAUUUCAAUUUAUAACAACUCAAUUUCCCUUGUAUCUCAAUCUAGUCUUCUUAAUCAAUAUGAUUCAUUCCCCCUUAAUAAUGACUACUAUUUUGUGUUGUCUUUUUGGACCCUUAACUCUCUGCGCCUCUAGUUUCUUCAUGCAAAAGAAAAAUGGUUACCAUCUCCCAAUUGUAAGGUACAACCUAUAAAUCUCAACUCCCAAAUAAUAUUUUUUUUUUUUCAAUAUCAUUAUUUUUCUUGUUUCAAAAAGCAAUAUGAUUUUAAAAAAUAAAAAUAAAAAUUCCCUACCUUAAAUUUCAAUAUUUUUAACCAUUUUAUAUGUUAAAUAUUCCAAUAGGAAAUUUUCUUGUAAGAGUUGUUCCCUUUGUUUCGAUCAUUGAUCACGCCUAGAGUCUUUGCUGCCUUGUGAUUUUCUAUAGCUUUACAAAAUACUAGUGCCUAAAUCACCACACAUCUUAAGCCUAUCCCCUAUAUUUGGGUCCCGAGAAUACUUUUUAAAAAAUAUUUACUUUUAUUUAAUUUAUUCUAAAAAAAAUCAAAUACAAUUAAAUUUAACUAAAAAUUAUAAUAUGAAAAUCCAAAUACAAUUAAUUUUUGUUGAAAUCCAAAAAAGAUUCAAAGAGAACAAAAGAUAAAAAUAAAAUAAAAUAAAAUAAUCUAUGAUUUCUUAUUAUGAAUUAUUUUUAAAAAAAGUACAACAUCAUUGGAAUUUAAAUAAAUCUAAUAAAGGGAAAUAAAUAUUAAUUUACCCUUACUUCUUAAAAAAAAUUAAUAUAGUAACUAAAUAAAUAAGAAAUAUAGUAACUAAAUAAAUAACACAAGAAGCAUCAAGAGUUUGUCAACCAAAAAUCGAAAACGUGGAAGUAGGUAUGACUUAGUAAACAACUCUACAAUCAUAUUGUUAAGAAAAUUUCUUAGCAAGUAAUCAAGUUUUGUACUAUUUAAUCGAAAUACCAAAUACUAAGUCUCAGUUUUAUGCAAAGUUGAAAAUUUCUCAAUUAUUGCUUGGAAUAUGUCGAGAAGAACGUAGGAGACGAGAAUUGAAAGAUAUUAAGAGGAGUAAUUGUUGAAUUAUUGAUAUGUGUUGAUUAAACACAUUGAAUGGGGUUUAUAUAUCAUAAACAUCCCAAACGAUUACAAAAAAUAUCCCACAAAACGUGGUCAAGUUAGUUACAAUGAAAACAAAUAUUUGAAUACAUUAGAAAUAAUAUGUUACAACAAAAAACUAAUAGCUAAAGAAUAGCUCCUAUGAUUGGGUUUGAAUACGCCCCCGCAAGAUGGCAAUUCCAUCUGAAAUGCCAAUCUUGGAGCGAAGAAAAAGGAACCGACCUUUGGAGAAAGGUUUAGUAAGGACAUCAGCCAACUGGGAGUGAGUGUUAAUAUGAGCAACUUUAAGAGAACCAUCAACAACUUUUUCCCGAACAAAAUGGUAAUCCAACGCGAUGUGCUUCAUUCGACUGUGGAAUAGCGAAUUUACACACAAAUAUGUGGCAAUUAAAUUAUCACAAUAAAUAGUAGGAAAUUGUUGAAGAGUGAUACCAAGCUCAGAACGAAGAUGAGAAACCCAAGUGACUUUAGCAGCGAUAGAAGCGACGGCCCGAUACUCGGCCUCUGUUGAAGAAUGAGCUACCGUCUUCUGUUUCUUUGAACACCAAGAGAUUGGAUUGCCACCAAGAAAAAGAACAAAAACAGUGGUAGACUUGUAAGAAUCUUGGUUGCCAGCCCAAUCGACAUCGGAAUAAGCUCGAAGAUCAAGAGGUGGAGUGACAUCUGAAUAAGCUUGAAGAUGGAGAUGUUGUUUUCGUCGGAAAGUGAGACCAAGAUGUAUUGUAUGUUUGAGGUAACGGAGCAACCUCUUAGAUGUAGUCCAAUGAGUUUGAGUUGGGGCAUGCAUGAAUUGGGCAAGUUUGUUGACGGCGAAAGCAAUAUCAGGACGAGUGAACUGGAGAUAUUGAAGUCCACCAACCAAGCUCCGAAAUUGAGUAGCAUUAGCUAGAGGAGAACCAUCAUUGAGAGUUAGAUGGCCAAUUGAAGACAUUGGGGUGGAAGAAUCCUUUAUGCCUUCCAAAUGAAACUUUGCCAACAAGUCACAAACAUAUUUAUGUUGAGAUAAAAACAUGCCAUCAGAAGUGGAAAUGACCUCAACUCCCAAAAAGUAGCUCAAAGGACCAAGAUCCUUUAGGGAAAAACGAUGAGCAAGAGCAUCAACGAACUUCCAAAUGGACUGAGAACAAUUUCCUGUUACAAGUAAAUCAUCCACAUAUACUAGAAAAUAAAUUGUGACUGACCAACAUUGAUAGAUGAAUAAUGAAGUAUUAGAUUUAGAAUUGACAAACCCAAAGUUGAAGAGAAAUGUCUUUAACUCUGUGUACCAAGCUCGAGAGGUUUGUUUCAAACCAUAAAAAGCCUUUUGCAAGCGGCAAACAUGAGUAGGAUUAUCCUGAUCAACAUACCCAAGUGGUUGAGCCAUGUAAACAUCCUCAGUUAAAUUUCCAUGAAAAAAAACAUUAUUAACAUCAAGCUGUGAAAUAGGCCAACCGUUACUCAAGGCAAUGGAUAGAACAACUCGAAUGGUGGUUGGCCUAACAACUGGGCUAAAAGUGUCAUGAUAAUCAACCCCAGGGCAUUGAUGGAAUCCUUUGGCAACCAAACAAACUUCGUAUCAAGAAAUAGAACCAUCCGGAUUUCGUUUGACACGAAACACCCAUUUACACCCCACAAUGUUAUGGUUGGAAGGAGGAGGUACAAGAACUCGUGUACGGUUGCGAGCAAGAGCAUCAAGCUCAUCAUCCAUGGCAGCACACCAAUUGGGAUCUCGAAGAGCUUGAGAGGCAGUGGUAGGCUCAAGGGACGCAGGAAGAGGAUGUUUGGUGACAUGAAAACUUGUCUUAAAGCUAGGAAACUGUUUGGGACAACGAAUAUUAUUUUGAGAAUGGGUUACAAUUCGAUGAGAUGGCUCGGGCGGAGGAUUGGACCCUUAGGUUUAGACAGGUGGUGACAAGGACAAAGAUGGAGAGGAAAGGAAGAGAUCAUACCUUGGAGUAGCAUCACACACCGAGAGAGAAGAUGAAGUCGUAGUAGGUGGACUGGAACUAGCAGGAGAACGUGAUGAGAGCAGCUCCUGAUUAGGCCGUGUGGUAGUGGAAGAAGGUCUUUGGUGCGGGAAAGAUUUGGAGGGAGUGGGAACCACAAAAAAGAAGGUUGGAUAGCAGCAAGAGCUGGAGAACACGAAGACCAAGUGGAGACAACUUGGUCAAGAUCUGUAGGCGAAGUAUUUGAGGCAAGAGGAAAUUGAUGUUCUUUUUACUUGUUAUGGUUACCAUUGUUGUUGAACUUUCUUCCUUGGUGAUUACGGUUUUUAAAGAAUCUCUUCCCAUUAUAACUUUGUUCAUUGCCAUAUCGAGGUUGGGUGUUGCCAAGACUUGUGCGAGUCUUAUUCACAAUGACAUUUGAACCACCACGCGACUCUUCUCUUUUCAAGAAAGCUUCAUGUUCUACCAACUUGUCAUGAAGUUCUUCAAAUGAACAGGAGUGUCUCGAGCUCUUAUUGCAGUAGAAAUAUCCUUAAAGCCACUACCAAGGCCAUUGAGAGCAAAAAUAGUCAGAUCAUCAUCACUUAAAUGAGUGUCAAUGAGAUCUAGCUCAUCAGUAAUUCCUUUGAUGGUUUGAAGAUACUCUGCAACAGAAUGAGUAUUGCAAGUGAUGUUGGUAAGCUUCUCCUUGAGAUUCAUUACUCGUGAUCUGGAUUUGUUAGCAUAAAGCUUGUGAAGCUUUACCCAAGCAUCACGAGAAGAAGUAGCAGCAGCAAUCAAAGGCACAACUCCUUCUAAAAGAGAUGCAAAGAUUGUGUGAAGGAGCAAUUUGUCUUGCCUAGUCCAAAUAGCAAAAUUUGGAUUUGGAACAGUUGUUCCAUUUUUAGCAAUAAUUUCCUUGGAUGGGCAUGUCUUAGUCCCAUCAAGAAAUCCCAUGAGGUCAUAACCAUAUAAUAGGGUGUCAAAUUGUGCUUUCCAAUAGGGAAAGUUGUUGCUAUUCAAUUUGAUGGGUAGUUAGGCAUUUGCAUUCAUGGAGAUAAUUCCAUCAAAGCAAGAAGUAGAAGAGAUGAAUCAUACAUUGGUUCUGUUGGUUGUGUUUUCGGCCAUGGUGCAGGAUAUUUGCAAAGAGAGGUUUUGAAUCAAGAAAAAAAAAACUCGUUAGAGUCUUUACUGCUCUGAUACCAUGAAAGAUAUUAAGAGGAGUAAUUGUUGAAUUAUUGAUAUGUGUUGAUUAAACACGUUGAAUGAGGUUUAUAUAUCAUAAACAUCCCAAACGGUUACAAAAAAUAUCCCACAAAACGUGGUCAAGUCAGUUACAAUGAAAACAAACAUUUGAAUACAUCAGAAAUAAUAUGUUACAAUAGAAAACUAACAGCUAAAGAAUAGCUCCUAUGAUUGGGCUUCAAUAAGAAUCCACAAUCUCAUAAGAUGUUAAAGUAGUCAUAAAAUGAGAAAAAUAAGCAAGAGAAUCAAAAACCAAAAUUUCAAUUUUUGCAUAAAAACCACUUGCAUAAAAACCACUUGCAUCAUCCAAAAAAGGUUCAAUGCGGACAAGUUCAAACUUAGAGACAUUAUAAAACUAGUAGGAAUAGGAAAGGUAUAUGUUCAAAGAAGUAGUAGAAGACAUAAGACUAAAACUAUCAAGAAAAAAAAAGAAGUCGACACAAAACUAAACUAUCAAAGAUAAAAGUUGAUAUGAAACUAUCAAGAAAAAAAGGCAAAAAAAGACAUGAAAUCAUAGAAGUAAGAGAGAUAAACAAAAUUUGGAUUCAUAUUCAACAAAUAAAAACUGAAAAAUUUGAAUUCAUAUCCAACAAACAAAAACAGAUAAAAUUUGGAUUCAUAUCCAACAAACAAAAUUUAGAUUCAUAUCUAACAAACAAAUAGAGGAAAUACUAAAUUAGAUUGCAUGUACAAUUUUUCCAAAUGUUUUCAGAUCUUUUUGGUAGUUUAUACUUCAUCAACUAUAUAUCUAUCGAAUUAUUAAUAGAGCUGUUGAUCCAAAUAAUAAUUUUCAAAUUUCUUGUUUUCCAAACAUCUAACUCUUCUACAUAUAUUUUAUCUUUUCAUUUAUAAGUUUGCAUAGAGUACCAAUAAUAUAACCUUAUAUAUUUUUGCCAUUUAUUAAAUUAUUUAUCACAUAACUUUAAUAGGAAUAAAUUUUUCCAUCCAAUAUCACACCAAUAGAUUGAAAGGUAGUUACCAAACAAAAGAAAGUAGAUAUGAAGAAGAAAAAAAACGAAUAUAAAAUCAAAUAAUGAGAUUAAACAAAAAAAGAAUGAUAUAGUCACCCACUAUGAUAUCCCAUAAUCAAACAUGAUAAAAAAGAAUUUCAUAAUCAAAUAGAAACGAAAGCGUUGUAUGAGAUUAAUCUCUUUUUAGAUCAUAAAUAAAAAAUCUCAUUAAAGAUGCAAAAAUGUGGCUCAAAUCCACAACCUCCGGUUGAACCAAGCUCUGAUACCAUGCUAAAAUCCAAAAAAAAUCAAAGAGAAAAAUAGAAAAUACAUCAUUGAAAUUUAAAUAGAUUUAAUGAAGGAAAUAAAGACUAAUUUACCCUUACUUUUAAAAAGAAAAAAAUAAUUAUAAUAUAGUAACUAACUAAAUAAAUAAAUAUAUAGUAAGUAAAUAUAUUAAUAUCUUCUAAUUUUUUUUAUUGUUUUUCCUUUCUUAUUAAUUUUCAUUGCAUUUUCUUUCUAAACUUCUUAAACCAAACACAACAAAAUCCCCAACCUUGCAUAAAAUAAAUACUCCCCUUGAUGGGACGAGUUUAAAAUUUAAAUAAACAAAUUAGAAGUUUGAAUUUUUUUUUAAAACUUGGGACAUGUUAGGUUGGGUUUUGGUAUUGUCUUAUCCCGUUGUAUCCCACCUUGAUUACAUAUAAAGUUAAUUUUAAAAAAUAAAAUAAAUUAAUUUAUUUUUUAUUAUUAAUAAUAUAAUAAUAACAACAACAACAACAACGUGCUUUUCAAUAAAAUAAGUCAUAAAAUUAUGAUAUUUUAAUUAUUUAUAAAAUGUAUUUAUUUUAAUGUAUUUAAUAAUAAAAAUAAAAUAAUUCAAAAAAAAAAAUUGAACAAGGCAAGAUGAGUGUGGAAAAUUUGCAUACCCAUCUCGUCCCUUUUCCACUCGUUGAAUUUUUUUAAUGGAACAACUAUGAUGGGUUAUUUUGAAUAAAUGAGACAAGAUUGAGAUGAGAAUGAUCCGUCCCAAACCUACCCUGUUGUUAUCCGUAUGCACGUGGGUACGUCAUCACAUGAACGCAAAUAACACAUAUUUAACCCUUAUUUUCAUAAUUGAAAAUUAUUAACAUUAGAAAGUCUAUCAUUUAAACAAAAUAUAGGAGAUUAUAUGUUUGGUUUUAGAAAAUUAUUAAAGAAAAAAAUUAGAUAAAUAGUUUUUUCAUAUUUUGUUUCACUAUAAAAAAUAUAGGAAAGAAAAAUCAAGUAUAAUUAUAAUUAGUUAGGAAUAUAUACAUUUUAAUAUUAUUUAAUAUUUAUAUGAUCUAUAAUAAUAAGUGAUUUAAAUUUAAAGAAAUAUAUAAAAAUAUUUUAUUGAUUUUAAAUCUAAAUUUUCUUUUUACUUUCCUCUUUAUUUUCUUUCUCUUUUUUUUUCUUAUAUUUUUAUCACAUUUUUCGGAAGCAAACAUAACGUGAAAUAAUUUCUUUAAGUCACUCAAUUGUCGGGAUAAAUUUUAAAAUAUUGUAUUAAAAGGCCGAUUUCGGCCAUGAGAAUUUGUGUAGGAGUUGAUUAUUUGAUUUCCCUCUAUUCUUUUAGGGCUUACACAAAAAAAAUAAAAAAUAAAAAUAGAAAUAAAAAUCUUUCGCACAACCAAAUGGUUAUGGGACGGAGAAUUCUAGGUGGCCAUCAUUUAAAAAAAAAUAAAAAAAUUCUGUCCUAUUCGACAACGAGAAAUUGACAAAACUAUCACCAGUUUAGGCGGCAGAAAUGUAUAGACAAGUCCAAGUCCUGGCUGCAUUUCGGGGAAAGAACAUUAUUCACAGCGUCUCCAACAUGACCAAUACCAAAGACCAAGACAAAGACCAUUUCAGUGGAGGAGGUGAAGCGAGUGGAGUAUUGAAACCUAACUACUUUGAGGUGGCUUUUGCAAGUCGGAAACCGCCCAAUUACCACAAACCUACCAAAUACAGAUGUAUGUGACGCCCACAGCAAAUAAUAUUGAAAGUUGAAACCAUCUUCUCUUAGCUUCUUUUGUUUUGAAAAGAACACCAACACCCAGGUUCCACCACCUGUCCUAUUGCUGCCUAUUUUAUUUUUAUCUACAAAACACACCCUCUCUUCCCUCACCCUUUUGACUCUUCUCCGUCCCCUCCUAUUUUCUUUUCUUUUUUUAAUUUUAAGUUUGAUCAAACUCUUAAGGCCGCGUUUGGGAGGGUAAGCGGUUUGGGAGAAAUUGCAUCUUUUUGGGUGUUUGGCAUCAUUGUAUGGCAUAUGAAAGGAUAUGAGAAGAUAUGAGGGUAGAGUGGUAGAGUAGUAGGAGGAGGUAGCUUUUGCUGCUUUUGGAUGGGAAAAUAGAAAUUCUGGAACACGCAUCAGUAAAUGUACAAGUCUAGUAAUAAAUACCACAUUAACUUCAGAUUCACGCUCCGCUUACGCUGCAUUACUCUUCUCUCACCUUCUCCUUCUCCUCUUGGUCCCACAAUUGUCCUCACCAUCAUCCUUCCUUCCUCAUCUCGCGCCGCUCUUCUUCUUAACUCGCAAGAAGAAUUGUUCUGUAUGUCCGUACCAACCAUUUCUCUCGAUAAAAUAAUAGAAAAAGGUGAAAAAAAACUCUCAACCUUCUAAGAAAAAGGAAAAAGACAAAAAUUCUACAGACCACUUCACAUAGAGUUUCUUAUCACAAGAAAUAUAUCAGACUGAGAGAAAGGUUUUACAGAGAAGAGAGUUGAUCACAAACGGUGCAUGUAGCAAUGAAGCAUGUACCUAUGGACAGGGCGCAGAUUCCGAGGAUCAGACAGCAGAGGUGGCGACGUUGGGGACCUGAGUGGGCGAGAAGGCCAGGAGCAUGAGGACAGCCAUGAUCACCACCGGAACGAAGAGAAGGAGCAACGGCGGAGGAGGCAGCGGCGGCAAAACUAAGGGCAGAAGCAACAUAGAAAGAGUGAGAAACACCAUAACCAUAAUCGAUCUCGCACUGAAGAACCUGACCAUCAAACUCUGCAACAACUGUGUAUACGAAUGGUCUUCUCUCGAUCUAAUAGCUGCCAAGGAUUGAGGCCAUGCAUCAUCGUCGCGAACACGCCUCAGAUCUCGGCGAAAUGGACGAUCACUGAUGAGGAGCCGGAGAAAGAAAGAAAUAGAGGAAAAUGUGAGAUG
rnacentral:lncRNA from 1 species